ACAUGACAAGUGUCACACAUUUUUUUGUGGUAUCGUUUUUUUUUCUCAGACACUUGAGUCAACACCUCUUAUUGGUUGGACUUUCUAGCACACUUGUAAUUUUAAAAAACAUAAUUUUUAAGAGUGAAGCAUAAAAGAAAUCGUUAAUUAUCACUUAAAGAACCAAAGUCAAUGGUAUUUUCAAUGGUGAUGAUGAAUAAGGAGUGAAAACCAUAUAGAUUAGCUCUUUUUGAAGACAAUUAAGUCUUUUUACAAAUAAAAUAUCAAAACAAUUUUCUAAGCUUUGUGACAAGACCUUCAUGUAUAUAGCGGUCUCCCUGUGUCUUGCUUUUUAAAUUUUAGCCGUGUCAUGGUACCAGUGUCGUGUUGUGUCUGGUGUCCGUGUUAGAGUUUGUGAUUCAUACCUUAUAGGGUCAUAAUUAGUUUUACUUUUAUGUACAUUGGUGGGUUUGGUUUUUAAUGUUUUGUUUGAUAACAUCUUUGGGAAUGUGAUACUAUUUUUCCUUCACUGUGGUUAUUUCUAAUGGUUUUUUUCAUAGUAAAGUUUUAAUGAAGCUCAUUUUCAAGAUAUGUUGAUCAACCUGGUCGUUAUGUGGGUCGUUUCUUCUUUCGUGAGAGGUUUGUUCUUUGAAAGAUUUCUUCGUUUUAUUAUUAAAGUUCAGUUUCAAAAAAUAAAAUCUCUUAGUUAAUUUAAAUAAUCGUGUUAAAGUUGUACACUUUCUAAGAUAAUUAAUAGCUCAUUUUCUUAAUUUAUACUCCCCGUUCUUAUUUAACUGUCCACUUUGAAGAAAUUUUUUUGUUUCUAUUUAUCUGUCCACUUAGCAUUUCAAUAGAGCAUUAAAUGAUGUUUUUACAACAAAUGCCCUUGUCAAUACAAUAAAUAAGGAGAGAAAACACAUACUUUAAGGGUAAAAUAGAAAAAUAAUCCUCACUUUUUCAAAAAAUCAACAAAAUUAAUCACACCCUUAAUAUGUGUGCCUCCACUCAAAAUAGACAGUUAAAUAGGAACAGAGGAAGUAUGCAUAUUGAUUUAAUUAAAUAAAUGUAUUCUUGUAAAUAAAAAAUUAAGGUAUACUUUCAAUUUGAUUCUUAUAAUAACAAACAAAGGGAGUAAUAAUAAGUAAUAAUAAUAUAUUGUAUGGUAUAAAAACUGAUAAAGUUUAAUAAGUUAAGACGUGAUAAAAAAAUUAAUAAUAUAUCGCGGUUAGUUAUGCAUUGUAUAAUUUGUCAUGUUAUUUAGAGAAAAAAACUUUAUCAAACAAUUAACUUUUAAAAUUAUUUGAUAACUUUAUCAAACAACGACGGUAGUUGGGGUGGUGACAAUGGAGGUGGCCAUGGUGGAAAAUGGUGGCGACAUUGAUGGUUGUGACAAUGCGGCUGCGGUAGGGUGGUGGCGAUGGCAAUGGUGGACGGUGGUGAGGGUGGUGGUGGGGUUGUAGGGCGGUGGUAGUGGUUGGUGGUUCAGGUGGCGACAAUUGUGUGACGAAGGAUGGUGGUGGUGGAGGAUGGAAAUGGUGGUGCGAUGACGAUGUCGCAACGAUAGUGACAAUGAAUUAAAUAUUUUCAAGUAAUUUAUAAGUUGUGAUCUUUUCAAACAUUAUCCCACCAUAUACGUUAAAUUAAAUAAUAUAUCAUUUUAAUGUAUAAGAGUAAACUCAUGAAUAAACAUAUACAAUAGAAUGUAAGCACCAAAUAAUAGAUGAGUCAUAAUGCUAAGUGAUAGGAUGACUCAUUAUAUUUCAUUUGAUUUUAAUAUGUUUCAUCAAUCGAAACACAGUCCAACUGUUUGCUAUGAGCUCGUUUGGUACACCGUAUUAAGCAUGAUAGUAUAAGCUUAUACAAUACAUUAUGAGCUUAUCCAUUGUUUGGUGAUCACAUUGUAUUGUAUAAGCUUAUACAUCAACCUCCUCUUAUACAUUAAAAUGAUGGAUUAUUUAAUCCACCCUAUAAAUGAUGGAUAAGUCAUGAUAAGAGUGCAAUGUAUAAACUACUUCAAUAUAUUUAAUCAACCGCCACCAUAAUCACCCUCCACCACCACCGCCUCCACCACCACCACCGCUGCCGCCACCAAAACAACCACGCUCUAGUUAUCGCCACUACAACUACCACAGCUGCCACCACCUCCCUCUACCACCGCUGCAACUAGCAUACAACUCCACCACCACUGCCACCAACACCACCAUCCACCACCACUGUUACUGUCACUACCGCCGGCGCCACCAACAUCCACCACCACUACCACCAUCAUCACCUUCCAAUACCACGACUACCACACCACCAGUGUUGCCACCAAAUUAUACAGUGUAUGACCAAACGCUGUAUAGUAUUAAAAUUUUAUCAGGCCUUAUCCUAUCAGGCCUAAUACAAUCAGGCAUUAUACUAUCAGGUCUUAUACAAUACAACGUACCAAACGGGCCCUAUAUAAAAAUGGGAACCCAAUGAUUUUCACCAAAAUGGAUUUCCUUAUAAAAUGCAUUGCUGACUCAAAUUAACUCGUUAUAAAAGAAAUCUAAUAAUUUUGAUUACAAUAAAAGUUUAGGGUGAAAUGAUGAUGGUCCAGUUGAAGAUAGAAAAAGUUGUCGGGUUAAUAAGUACUUAUAAAAAAUUUAUAUUUACUUCAUGGCAUUUGAACUUAUCAAGGUAUCCAAUGUUGGAAGAUGAUAAAAAUAUUUACGUGUUAUUUUUCCAUUUUUAGGACCAUCAUAUUUACCAUGGUCUCAAAGAGCAAAUGAGCUUUUAGAAUUUGUAACAAUCAUGAUCAAAAUGUGCAUAUGAGGAAAAAAAAACUAAGUAGAAUGAUGUACUUAAUAGAUUUGCACUAUCAAUAUAAAAAAAAGUUGUCAUUUAAUUAUAUUAUGUCACAUAGGAUCAAAGGAACCAUACUCUUAGUUUUGGGUUUAAACUGUUGUUCGUGCCUCUGAUUGCUUGAGUGGAGGGAGCGCGUUGCAGCAAUAUAAGAAUGUCAGUAUUUAUCGAGUGUGCAGUUCGUCUACGUCCCAUGUGAGAAGAAUAAUAUUUUGAAUUGUUUAGCUCGUCAAGUAGGGAAGGACAAUACACAACGGUGUUUAAAAAGACCCCUCAUUUUGUUUCGGCGUCGUUGUACAUGAAUGGUGUUAGCUAGUUUUUCCUAUUUUGUUGUUGUAAAAAAAAAAGGUUACAUUUCAUUUUCAUUUUAGUUAAAAUCAAAAUAAAUUUAUGAUAUUAUGGAAAUAGAAAUAGAAUUAUUGCACUCAAAACUGGAUUGUGUAAAUUGUGUUGCACUCGAUUCACGUUUUAUGUGGCAAUGAUUAUUUUUUUGUAUUUUUUUAAAAAAGAGAAAAGGAAAAUAGAUAAGGCGAGGGAAACGGAAGGCAAACGAAAAAGGCGAAAAGAGAAUGAAGAUCGGCGGCGGGGUAUUGUAUCGCGGUGGUGCACGCGGCAGCAACGUCGUGCCGCUGCUUCUCAGCCACCGCGGAGCUUCUACUCUUCGGUAACGCAACUCUCCUUAUCUCAAUAAAACGGUGCUGCUCUUUCGUUGAUUCACUUCUCACUUUGCAGUUGCAGACCACGUCUCUUUCGUAAAAGACGUAGCCAAAACUCAGCCUCCUCAGCAUCUCUCACAACUCUUGACGAUUCUGCAAACCAGAGGUAUCGCCAUUUCACAUUAUCCUCUUAACUCGCAUUUAUCUAUUUGCAAAUUCAAGUAUCAUGUAACUGUUUUUGCAACCAAAUCUUCAUCUCAAUCUUACAAUUAAACUUGUAAUGCAACUUUCUAUAGAAUUUCAAGUUUAGAAUAGUCAUGAAUCUGUAUUUUGUGUAUGUGCUUGAGCAUGUGACUUGGAUUAUUUUGGUUUAUCAAAUUAUUCUAUGCAAAUAUGCGCCUUGAAUUCAUUUUUUCUGCUUCCUGAUCUUAAUUAGGUCAUGCAUUUGUGUUUAACAGGUGAUUCUAUUAUCUCUCCCGGCGCCAGGCAAGGAUUGAUUCCCCUUGCUAUACCACUGUCGAAAAACAGCUCAGGUAUGGGUUUGUGAUUAAGUAGCUUUUAGAAAUCUUCAACUUCAGUAUAGUUUUGUAUGUAAGUGUUUUUUUUUUCUUUACAGGUAGUGUGACGGCAUUGCUGCGGUGGCCAACGGCUCCAUCCGAGUGAGGCUCGAUGUUCAUCCUUUUCCUUUUGGUUGUUUUUGUUUUAAUCAUGUUAUAACUGUAACACAACUGCAGAAUGGAAAUGCCAGUGGUGGAAGUCAGAAGUUAUGGAGUGUGGCUUUUAGCCAAGACUGUAAGUGGAGCAUGCUUGGUCUUUUCAUUUCAUUGCUGGCUUUGUUGUUAAUAUUGAUCAGUGGACACUUUAUCGUGUGUCUAUUAAGAUGGUGUGAUGCCAACUGUUUAUUUUCUAUGUAUAGGUGGACCAAUUUAUUCAUAGAAUAUUGGUUGAAGAAGAUGUAAAGAACAGUCAAGAGAGAAAUGAAGAACUCUUUUAUGCUUCAGCUGAUGCUGGGGAGAAGCUUUAUAGAAAAGGCGAUUUUGCACAGUCUGGAAUUUCUAACCUAGAUGGCUAUCUUUUGAAAAAGGUAUUCAUAAAUUUCUAAACAGUGUUUUUUAUUCUCACAAUAAAUUACCGCAAGAAUCUAAUUUGUUUUCAGGUUGGUAUCUUUCCAGAUAUCCUAGAGCGCAAGGUGAAACGACAUUUUGAGGAAGGGGAUAAUGUAAGGUCCUCUUGCAUUUUUUUAGAUAGGUCCUCAAACAUUAGUCAUAAGUCACUUGAUACAUGUUGGUUAUGUCUGUUUGUGGAAGGUUUCAGCUUUGGUAACGGGGGAAUUUUAUACUAAGAAGGAACAUUUUCCAGGAUUUGCACGACCUUUUGUGUUCAAUGCUGAGGUUUUGUUGAGGUUGUUGGUAAACGAUUUCUGUUACUUCUUGAAGUUGUUCAAAAUGGAAAGACUGAACUUAUAAUUAUCAUCUUCUAAGAAGCUUUUCUUAAAUAAAAAAAUUACAGGGUUGGGCGUAAUACAGAAGCUAAAGAUGCUGCCAGGGGAGCUUUGAAAUCACCAUGGUGGACUCUGGGCUGCAAAUAUCAUGUAUGAAGUCUUUAAUCAGUUUGGUUUUCUGGUUUAAGUGCAAGCUUGUGCUAGGUCUCUUUUCCUCCGUUUACCCCUUUUCUAAGUUUGUUCUGUCAUAUUCGUUUCAACUAGGAUGUGGCUAAUAUAGCACAAUGGGACGAUGAGCAAAUUGAGUACAUUAAAGAGAAAGUGACUGAAGAGGGAAGGCAAGAAGAUCUUAAAAAGGGGAAGGCACCUGCACAGGUUCUGUUUAGUGUCAAGUAUCAACUAUUUAUUAAUUUAAUUGUUAUAUGAUCAUUGCUACAACAUCAAACAUUCAUGGCAAGGGCAUAUAUUGAUAUUCAUAUUUUUUCUUUCUUGUUUUCAUUUUAAACUCAAUUGCAGGUUGUACUAGAUGAAGCUGCUUUCUUGCUGGAUUUGGCUUCUAUAGACGGAAAUUGGGAUGACUAUUUGGACCGGAUUGGCAAGUGUUACGAGGAAGCAGGACUAUCUGAUGUCGCAAAAUUUAUUCUUUAUAGAGAUUAAUAUACUUGGCAGAUUUUCUUCCACCUGCAAGCUUCAGUGCCUUCCCGUUUCGGCAUUUUAUACAAUUUAUUCUACAGGCACGAGUAUUUUUCCUUGAGUUAUGAUUUCAUUGUAAUAAAUUAACCUGAACUCCUCACAUGUUUCAUGCUCUGCAUGUAAUAAUAAUGAUAUUCUUACACUCUUAACUCACACGAGGCUUAUUUUAAUGUGCGCACACACUUGGCGAGUAACUCUCAAAUAAAUAAAAAAUUAAUAUUCAAAUUUAUUAUCAACUUAUUAAGAUAAAACUCUUUUAAACAUAGAUUUUUUUCCACUUCAAAUCCAUUACUGAUUAAAAUUAACACAAAAUUUGCAAAUAUUUAUUUAAAUAAACACUUAAAUGUUUGGGAUUGUGUAUUUAAAAUUGAUAGGGUAAAUAUUUAAUACCAUGAUUCCAAAGAUACUAUUUUCUUACUGAAGACAAAAAAGAAAGUAAACAUGUCCACCAGUCGUCCACUCUAAUAUAAUAUGAUGUGUAGAAUGGAGAUGCUAGCCCUGAAGUGGCUCCCCAAAACUAAACCUAAAGAUAAGAAAAAUGGUAAAUAUCAUAAGUAUGUAUUUUUUUAUGAAAUGUGUUAGAAUAAUAUGGAGUUAUUUUAUCUUUCUGUGUGAGAAAAACUGAUUGUUGUGGGUCAGGGAGUACUAGAGAUUAUAUAUGUAUCUCCUUGUUCCAGUUUCCGUAAUGAUAGUUGACAGUAAGUUCUGGUAAUAUUUAGUUUGUUAGUUAAUCUUUCAGCUACUGGUUAGUUGGAUGACAUAUUUAUAUUCAGCUCAGCUCAUCUUGUAAAUGGAAAUGUCUUCCAUUUUCACUUUCUGAUCAAUGAAAAUUGCUGCUCUACACGAGCUUCCCCCUCUCACAGUUCCAAGGAAAGGUAGAGGCUGAAUCAUUUCAUUAGUGGCUUUUUAAUAAAAUCAAUUUUGGUGUGAACGAUCAGUCAAUCACCACUUAAAGCUAAAACAAAACAAAAUCAAAUUUGAUACUUUGCCAUAGCCGGGAUCUAACGGCACCAGACAUCCCAAAGUGGAAUUCUGGUGUAGCAUAAUGUUGUUUGCGCACAUUAUUUGUCACAUUUUUCAAUUCAACUGAUCAUCACCAUGCCCCCUCCCCCUUUUGCUGUUUCCUAGGUAUGCAUAAUUACAUAUCAUAACAACAAUGUUGCAUGCACUCUAUUACAUGCAUUUUCAGUUGUUAGUUUUCAGGCACGUAUUCAAUAGCCAAGAGAAAAACACACAAAUAUCACUCAACUAUCUCCAUCAGAAAUAUAGCCAAGAUAUGAUUGUUCCCUCCCUCAGGAAGUACAGAACAACACCAGAAUUGCAUUUCAUGUGUUAAAUGGAACAUGUGCAUUCUUUUUGGCUUUCUUCUUUCUCUCUAAGAGUAGCCUUCGCCACAAAUUACGACCUCUAGAUUUCUUGGCAGGUACGAUGGCCAAAGACUUAACAGAAGCACUGUCAUCCUGGCCUUGAAGUCUGUUCAAAACUAAUACCUUUUCCAGGGGCUGUAUAAAACCAGGAAUGCAGGUGGGACUGGAGCUUCUGUUACUUACUUUGCAAACCUUGGCUUUGUGAUUAUCUUCAGCCAACAUCCGAUCCAAUAGAGAAAGUCGAUUUUUCAUCUUCAUUGCUUUCUUUGGGAAAGUAGUUGAGUUUGUAAUUGCAUGGCAUUGGGCAGCUACAGCGUUGUCAAAGAGGGAGGCAUCCUUUGGUGCAGCCAAUGCUGAGUUUGUAAUUGCAUGGCAUUGGGCGGCUACAGCGUUGUCAAAGAGGGAGGCAUCCUUUGGUGCAGCCAAUGCCUUCAACUGCUUCCCAAGGUUAAGGAUGGUCUCUUGACACUCUGCCAACUUUUCUGAAGCAGCUGUUAUCUCCCAGUCCUGUAGGAUUGGUAAACAACCCUCAAACUCAAUACAGGUACAUAUUGCAACAGAGAACUGUUUGCACAGUAGGCAAUUAACUCCUUAUAUUAGUUACUGCACUGGUGUUAUUGGAUUUAUACUGAGUAGCAGUCUUGGUGUUGGACAUAUUCAUUUUCAAUUAUAUUUAGCCAGAAGGAAACAAAUCAUGAGAAGUCAUUUUCCUCUCCACUUCUUGUAUUGAGGAUAUUUUUAUAUCGGAUGUAUCUAUGGCAUUCAAAGCUUAAAAAAACUUAAAAUGCAUUUGAAGAGCGGUGAAGUAAUUUGUUCAUCAUGCUCCAGUCUGGGAUCUCCCAGUUUUAGUUUAAAAAUCAAGUUAGCAUCAUGUAAAAUCAAAUACCAUUCCCCGCCAAAUUUGUAUCUAGAUGAAUAAUACUUCAACAUGAUUCCAUUUUAUCCAGAAUAUAUAGGAAAAUAGUGUUCUGAUCUGACAACAAACAAAUGAAUCAACGGAAUAUAUAAACUUACAGUUUGCAGCUGCUUAUCUGUCUGGUUAAUGUCAUUAUUUGUACACUCCUUUGUCAUCCUGAGAAGAUAAAGUUUGAUAUGAGUAUGACAAUAUUCAAAGAAGAGAUUAAAAGCUAAAUGCUUGGAAAUCAUAUGCACAGUAACAAAUAUUGAAAUAUUAGAUUACUGAUACCUUCCAAGCUGGAGCUGAAGCUCAACAUAUCUAGUCUCUAAUUCUUCACAAUAGUGGUUCUUGUUCUCCAGUUCCAUUUCUAAUGCCAAAAUCUUGUGAUGAGCCUCUUUUAAUUCAGUUUCUGUAAGCUGAGAGUCAAUCUCCUCAUUCAUUGAUGCGUGAUUUUGCAUUUGAUCCUCGAAUAUUCCUUUGGAUUCUUUCAUGGUUUGUAACUCCAAUCUCAAGCUGGCAAUAGUUUUCUCCGAUUCCUGAAGUUGAUUCAUUGCUGAUUGAAGCCUCCGUUCCAAGGAUUCCUUUUCAGAUUCAGAAGGGAUCACUUUACCUUUAAUAUUUUUAAGUUCUUCCUUCUCAUCAUGUUGCAUUUCCUUAGUCAGAUCAUGACAAUCUGAAUUAGUUAGUGCAGGAAAACAUGGUAACUGUUCUCUGGGAAGAUGCAACUUAUCUGUGUCUGCAAACAUCUCAGUUUCAGCUUCAUUUUCACUUUGUGUCUCAUCCCAAUCAAAUUGUUUUUUAAUGGCAUCCCUCAUACUUGAAACAUCCUGAAGUGAGAAGCAGUGAUUUAUAACCCAAUCCAAAGCCGUAGUUAGUUCUGUGGCAAAUUUUUCAUGAUCAGCUUUGCCAUUCAGUAAAUCGUAACACACGUGAAGAAAUUUCUGUAAGACAUUACCAAGAUCAGAUGUUUUCCACUGGAAAACUCGUGCCAUGUAGCCUGUUGGAAUUCCUUCAUUCUUAUGUGCAAGGAUAUUUCCAUCUCUUUUGCACAAGGGAUCUGAAUUAUCAAUAUCCUCAUCAGGUACGUUGAUCCCUUCAAUAAGCUCAAUUAUCUUGCCUAUUGAUUUACUCUGAUCUCUCUCAGAUUGUUGUUUAGUUCUCUUUACUGAUGAAAUCUUAGAACCAUUUACUUCACCUGAUGGAUCUACUGCAGAAUUAUGCAAAGGUUGCUGUGAGGUGUGAUCUACUUCAUCAAAUUGACCUGAGCCUUUGUUUGAAUCAAACCCACAUCGAUCUUGAUUAUUUAGAUGCUUCAUAGCCAAUUUAAUAUCUUCAAUUAUAUCAUCAGGGUUCUUAUGAGUGGCACAGUUUUGUUCCAAGAUCACUUUAACUACAUCCUUCAACCAACCAGGAACUUUGUGCUUUAAGUCACUGGAACAUGUUUCCUGAUUUGAUGUUGAGAACGCUGAUAAAUGAUCAGACACUGGAAUGAUUUCCUUACCUAUUACUUCAGAGGUAAUCUCGUUUGAUCCAGUCUCUGAGAAGCCAUUUACUUUAUUAUUUCCUUCUGAAGAAGCAUGAGAAAUUUCAGGGGCUUUUUCGACAGAGACCACUGCUAGUUUCUCCAUUUCAACGAAGUCAUCCAUAAGUUUUAUGUCUGAAGGUCCAACACUUCUGCAUGCAAAUGAUUCCUUCUGUUUUUCACUUCUGAAGUGCUCCAACUCUGAAAUCAAUGCAGAAGCCCAGGAUUCAGCACAGCUAACCUUGUCAUCACUGUCAAUGUCAGACAUCGAUGCCAAAGAGAUCUCUUCCAAUGCAAGAUUGCUUCUAGGCUGCUCCAAGGUCGUUUUACCUUUAGAUUCAAUCUCUGACUCAAGUUGCAACAGUUUAGAAGCUGUGCGAGAAAGCAUUGCCCUGGAGAAUUGGACUUCAUUUGUUUUCCUAUUUAGGGAUUCUCUCAAAGUCUUGUUUUCUUCUUCCACAGAACAUAGUUGCUCAGUCAAAGUAGUGAUUCUUCUAAUGGUAGUCUCAGGAGUGUUUUUUACUGAAGAUUCAAUCAUUAAACCGGUUGAAUGCAACUUGUUCCUCCUCAUUUCAAGUGAACCCUGUCCCAACAUUUCGACUUCCUUUUUCAUUUUUGCCAGUGCAGAGGGACUUGGCAACCGUUUUUUAACAAGAAGACGCAUCCUCUGACAUUCUGAUUCUAACCUGGCAAUUGUUUUCACACUCUCUAAGUGCUGCUUAUGAGAAGCAUUAGCUACUCGACGAGUAAAUUCUCUCUCCUCAUUUCGAAUAUCAAGUUCCUUCUGAAGCACUUGAGCCUCAUACUUCAGAGAAGCAUUAUCUUUCUCAGUUGACUCAAAUCUAAUCAUCAGUGCAAUAUGAUGUGCCUCUGCUUGAGCCAAUUGUCUUUUCAGAUCUUCAAUCAAAUUUUCUUUAGCAAAAACAGAUUUGUUAAGAUGAGAAUUUUCUAUCCCACAUUUAGCAAGCAUUUUACUGGUCUCUGAUAGCUGCUUUUCGAAAACCACACGUGCUUGUUCAAACUCUUUUGAAGUCUUCAUCACAGCGUCAUGAAUCCUCUGCUCUUGUUCUUCUCUGACAAAAUGUAACUGUUGCAUGCAUUCCUUGAGAGAAGCAUCCAGAUGGGCCACUCUUUCUUCAUAAACUAAUAGCUGCUGCACAGAAUCAUCAAGAUGUUGCUUCAUUGACAACAUUUCAGCUUCUGCUUUCUCCCAUCCUUCAAAGGAGGCUUUUAUUAAGAGACUGGUAAAAUUACUCUCAAGAAUAAUUCAUAAUUGAUUAUUAUAAACAAUGUAGAAAUAUUACCUUCCACUGCUUCUUGCACAAUUUUUGUUUGUUUCUUCACCUGCUCAUCUUUUGCAUUACAGUCAGAGAGUGCAAAAGCAAGCUUAUCAUUCAACCUUUUCAAGUCUUUCUCCAGUUUUUCUUUAUCAGCAAGUAGUGCUUGCACCUAAGACAAAAAGUUAAAACAAGACAAAACACCAAUUAUUUUUAUCAAGUAGAAAACAAAACACUUCCACAAAGUUCAGGGGAAGAGUUCCAGGUCUCUAAUAAAUAGGACUCUCCAGAAUUAUUGUGUAUCUUUAAUAACUGUAAACCAAUUCAUCCAUUUUACUGACAAGGAUAGAGAUAGUGUGGAUUGAUGAAGUAUGGAGUUAGUACUCUUAAAGAUGUAUAAGGUUGAGGGUGGAAGGAAGAGUAUUAGAAACCAGCUAAAUCUACACAUGAACCUAUAAAUUCUAUAACACUCAAGGAAAGAACAAAAUAUAUGUGAUCAAAACAGAACAAUUGAUGUUAGUCUUAAUUAAAUUACCUCUUCAUUUUCUUUUGAAGUGAGAUUUGCUUUGUCAUUUGCUAAAAUUGUCUUUUCCGUGGACUUUUUUCCCCAACGCCAUGUCUUGUGAUCCAUAGUUGUAAGAAGGCUUCAAAUGAUGAGAAUCCUCGUGAGGAAAAGGUUUAUGCUACUGUAGUCUUACUGGAAGGAUGAGCUCACUGAACCGAAAUAACAAUAAUGAUAAAAAAUUAUUAUGUACAUGGAAUUUGAGCAGAAGUUAAUCAUCAUACAGAAGCAUAUUACGUAGCAGAAUUUUUUUUUAUUUACAUAAAUAUCUCCAUUGAAGGCAUAUGACAUUCAUUAAAUUUAAACAUAAUAUCAACAUUCUUUUUAAUGAACCUCUGCAUCUUUGAAGAUUUAUUCCAUGCAACAGAAAAGUUAAGAGGAAAUCCCUUUUUUAAUGAAUAUUACCAUUAAAAUGAUGGUAGAGGAACAUAAUUGUAAGAGGUGAGUGCUUUGUUUUCUGACCUCUUAGAAAUGAAGUGGGAGGUUGUGUUUCUUGUGCAUGGAUCACCAAAGACAAAAGGCAGCAGCUGAGACCAAAUGAUGAUGAAAUUCAAUUCUGCCAUGUCCAGUGAAAUUUAGUUCAGGAAAACAGAAAAUGUGAACCAGUUUAGAGUUGAGUGAAGCUAAGAGAAGGUUAAAGACAUAGACAUAAACAAUUAACAUCAUACCAUGGAAUGUUUGAGUGGCAGGAAAAUGACUCAGCUUGAAACGAGCAUAGGCACCACUACUCAAACCAACAACUACCUCAGCUUUUUCUUGAAGUGCAAAGUGGUGGGUAUGGAUACCAAAAAGGAAAAAAAAAAGGAUUAUGAAGUGUAGGAUUAGGAGUCAAGAGCCAACUAGAAAAAUACUAACGAAGUGUUCACUUAGUUUUUUCACAUUUAUUUCAUUUACAUUGGGAUGGGAUGGUAAAAAGAGAUUGGUGUGUUAUGUACUUGAAAAAGAUAACAGAGAUAUGAAAUCAGUGUAAAAAUAUGUGAAGAAAUUAGCACUGCCUCUGAUGAAUACAGAUGACCUUUUAUUAUAAUUUUCCCUCAACAGGGAAAAAAAUCCGGUGAGGGAAGGAAAAGUGUCGGUUUGGUAUGUUGGAUCAUGGAUGAAUGAGUCAUUUGAUGGAGUAACGCAGGACAGGAGUACAGACACUUGUCAUCAACCACAAGUUUGUGUACUCUUACGUAAGUUCAUUACAUGACUAUUACCCGCUUACCAUUAUCACAAUUAAACUGUGAACUAAAAUAUCUAUUAUCUUCUGAUAUCUAUUUAUGACUGUUCCCUUAUUAGACUCAUGUAACCUCAAUUUCAUCAAUCCUAGAAAUUAAGUUAUUGUUUGACUGAGUAUUUAUUCAAGCACUAGAUCAUUAUUCAUUUCCUAUUAAAGUGAAGUAGGUAAUCUAGUUUAAACUUCAUAUUCAAUAAGGAAAAAACUCAUCUGAGUCUGAUAUUUCAUCUGUUAUGGACAUGACAUGUUGCUGCUCAUUGUUAAAGUUAAAACAUGGAUUUUUGACUUUUUUGAAGGAUGCAGAUAGGUGCAUGUCCUUUUCACUUCUAGGAGAUGUUCACCAGGAAGGAACAAGACAAUGUGUACAUAAUGGUUUUUCACUUUUUCUGGAGUCAUUAGUGAAUUUCCAGCAAAAUGACAAGAACCAAAACCUUAUAUACAUGAUCACCCUUUCUCUUGAUACAGGGGAGAAGGGUAUGUAUGUUAAAAAUAAGGUAGCUGGAAUUGUCAAAUUACAUUUGGUCACAAGCUAGAGAGACUGAGGGGCCAUAUAAAUGUUAUCAAUCCAUUAAUAAAGGUUUUGAAGCCCCCAGGAGCAAUGAAAAAUUCACAUUCCAAUGAAUUUUUUUUUAAAAAAGUAAAACAUUAAAUUAGCAUUUAUUCAACAUUUUGUUCCACUUUCCAGCAAGAGAUCAAUACAAGUUCAUUUAGAAGUAUAAAAACAAAAAGUGAUUGUGACAACAAGAACAAAACCUGUGAUUAUUGUUUAAAAUGGGACGAGUUAACUAAGAUCUAUUGCUUCAUACAAUAUAAGCUGUUUAGCCUUGGAUUUUACUCUUGGUAUCCUAUAAUGGCUAUUUUGAUAAUCAUUGAUUGAUAAAGUUGAAUUGUGGGCCCUAAUCUGCCCCUUAUCUUUGGUAGUUAUGAGCCAACUACAACGAAAAGUAAAAUGUGCCAUAGUUGUUUGCACCCACUCUAAUUAGCUUAUGCAGUUAUGCCUCAACCCCUUGUUUUUUUGGGACAGCUUUUGUCGGUCACAACUUUAGAAUAGUCAAUAUAUAUUGUAAAAGCAAAACAAAAUAACUCAAAGUCUUUAUACUCUAAUGUUAUAUUUUGAGUUCUGUAUUGAAAAGUCUAACACAACUCUUCUUUUUUUAUCUAACUUUGGGAUCCGCUUGCAUGCGAAGUUACGUAUUGUUAAAUGUUGUAGUUUGAGUUAUUUUUUUCAUAAUCUAGUUUUCUAUCGAGCUUCAUGAUGUAAGGGGGUUUGAUCUCAUUUAGGGUAUAUUUGGAUACUCACUAUCGCUAAUACUAAUAUGAGUUUAGCAUCGGCUUCGAGGUAAAAAGUAUAUGAAUUAUUAUUUAUAUUGGGAUAUUAUAAAAUUUCUUUUCCAUUUAUGUGCCCGAACAUGUGUUUUGGUAGAUGAGAAACUAAACUAAAAAUAGUGCAUUUUUGUGGUUACGUUGGAUACACCUCAACCAUAUAUGCCUAUGAUUAUUUUUUGUAACACUUGAAUGGCGUUGUUGGGCCAUUAAAUUUAAUAGGAGUUAGGUUGCUGCUGGCCUUGCGAUCUGUUGCUCCAUUUACUGAAAGUGUCAGGAAAUGGCCCACGCUUUUGCAAAAUACAGCCCUUGUCAGACCCUACUAUAUUUCACCAAAUUAAAAAAGACCCUGUCAUAAAAUCCGAAGCCCCACAAUUUUUUUGUCUUUAUUGUUUCUUCUCAUUAAUAUUUUAUCCACACUCAUUUUCACUUCCUCACCAGAAUGAGAAAGAAAUAAAAAAAUCAUUAAGAAAUAUAAAUAUAAUUUCGUAUGUGAUAUAAUGAGAUAGGAAAUCAAACUCAAGAGUCAAGAUGUUGUUUAAGAAUUAAGAGAAAUUAAAAUUUGUAUCACUUGAACCAACUAUCCUUCAGCGACUUUUGAUUUAGUAAAAGAUGUUGUGCCUUCAUUCGUUGUGUUUAACAUCCAUACUACAGAGAUGAAAGAAAAACAAAAGGAAGAACCUCAAUACAUGCGUAGCAUGCCCUUCACUCUUUGGUCUUUUCACAUGUUUUGUCACUCCGUUGUUGGGCUUCUGCCGUUUAUUAAUCCACCUGGAAUACGUUGAGCAAUGCACUUGAAUGUAAAGGAUGACACAUUAUUUGGGCCUACAGUUUGUUGAAGUGACAUCAGAUUAUAAGCCCAAGUAUAGAUUAUUUUUCGGUCAUAUAUGAGAUUUUUUAUUAAACGUUUGAGUUUAAUUUCUAUGCACUGACGGUGUAAAGAUUUUUUACACCGUCAACCAAUCAGAUUUCAAGUAUGCAAGAAAAACUAUUUUUUUUAUUUAAUUUUAUUAAUUGACGUGACACAUCUUACAAUCUGAUUGGUUGACAGUGUAAAAAAACUUUACAUUGUCGGUGCAUCAUCAUUUUUCUCUAAACUUUUAUACGUCGGUAAUCUUCUUUAUUAUUAAACUUCUUUUUUUUUUCUUGCAAUGAAACAUUUGUCAAAAAAAAUGGUAAGAAUUAGGGGACAUGUAGGUUUGGUUGGGGAGGUCCUAAAUGGUGCAAUUUAUCUUUCCGAUGUACCAAAUUUUUUUUUUGUGAAAUUGAAAUAAAAGCAACAAAACAAUAACAUUUAUCCUUAGCUAAAAGUGGGAUAAGAUCCUUAGGGGGUAGGGACCAAAGUGUAUGGAGGUCUAUUGAAGCCAUAUGAUCAACACAAUAUUUAUACUUAUUAUAUUAGUAAAAUUGUGUGGUACAAACAGUAAUGAAGUAAAUAAUUAUCAGCUAUGUUUAAAAAUUUUUAAUUCAUGUAUUUCAUGCAUAUUAUUUGUAAGAUAUUAAAUGAUGAAAUCAUUGGAACAGGAAGAAUUUUGUCGUCAAUAAAGAUCAUAUCUGGCUCAAAUAUGAUUAUCUUAAAGUGCGGUAUGUCUUUUCUUAUUUCAUAUUACAACUUAAAGUACGGUAUGCAUAAGGAUGACAAAAAUAAGUGUGGGAUGAUAAAAAUAGAUUUUCCUUAAAAUGGAUUUGAGUUGCCAAACACUAUAUAGCCUUCAUGCUUAGCUUAGCAAAAAGAAUAUGGGAGUGACCACAUACAUCAAUUCACAAGUUGGUAAAGAGUUUGCGUUUGAACCCCAAACUCGUUCCAAUUAAAGAAAAAACAGUGCACCCCCAAAAUUCAUUGCAUUCAGCAUCGAACCUAAGUAAGAAAAGAACCUUGUGAAACAUUUUUCACCCUACAAAGUUUUGCUUCUUUUGGAAAAAGCAGGUUCCUCUCUCACUCUACUUUUAUUUAGUCACUCACCAAGAUUAAUGUCCAUGACUAGACACCAACCUCUUUGUUUUGGCGAUAACAACGGUUAGAAAACAUUGCAAAAGUCUUGCUAUUUCCAUUAGUAGAAACUCGUAUAUAAGCUUCUUUGAUUAUCAUUAGCCAAAAUGGAAACAUAAACUGUUUGCUUUUGAAAUGAAGCAACAUUAUUGACAUUGAAAUCAAGCAAACAGGGCUGUCCCUCUUUCACGGUCAGUGUCCCUUCUCAUUAUAUUCACUGCUAGCUGGGUAACUCAUGGAUUCAAAAGUGUCAAAACAUCAUAAUUGAUUAUGAAUCUUCGUUGAGAGUAGGGAAGUUUUUCGUUUUCCUUCACACGUAGAAACUGAAUUUUCUAAUUGCCAUUUUAGGAAAAGCAUUUUCGUGUCCACUCAAGUGGAAUGCGAUGUGAAAUCCUAAUCAUAGUAACGUAGUCAUGUGACCAAUCCAACCUAAUAGGCUAAUGUGACUCAAUCCCAAAACCCAAGCAAACGCGUAUACUAAAACAAUUCAUAUGUAUUUAAAUUGGAUGAAGUCCUCUUUUGGGGGGUUUUUAAGUUUAGUGGCACUGGUUCACGUGAAGUAAUAAAUUAUCCUAAAAAGUUUAAGUUGUUGGGCAAAAGUUACGUGAAGAUUUAAUGUCAUGUUAAGUAACUAAUUAUUCUAAAAGUUUAAACUUUUUAAUAAAAGCCACAUAAAUAAUUUUAUAUUAUUAUUUCAAACAGCUUACAAGUAGUUAAAUUAUGUGUUGGGAAUGACUAAGUUAUCCGGCAAUGUUUCGGUGAAUAAGGAUCAAAGCGUAAACGUUGAAAAUCCAACAUCUUGAUUGGUGCCGAAGUAGGAUAAAAUAGGAAAUAAACAAGAACUAAGAAAAAUUUGAAAAGUAAUAAAACAAAGUGUGAUUUGAUCAAAACAAAGAUAAAAAAUGGCUUAAUGACAUCUUGUUUUCAGAGUGUUUAGUAUUAAAACGUCCAACCAAUUGAACAUGGGUGAAAAUUUUCCUUCGUGUAAUCUCGAAUUGAUUUAGCCUUCGAGUCAAAAUUAAAUCCUUCAUUCUUCUUCAAACCGCCCAUAUAUCAAUAAUUCACAACUAUGACCUCCAAUUCUAUAGUUCUCAAAACAAGCUCUCGGAGGUUAGUUUUCUAUUAUUGAUUAGAGUGUCUUGCCGAAAUUUGUUCUGGCUUGGAUAUAUGGAAGUGUCAAUGUGAUUUUUUUAUGACACUUAUGUCAAGUGUAUCUAUAUUUUGUGUCUUGUUAGUAAUCUACUAGCUGAUUGAACUUUGGCGUUUUCGGUUGGUGGGCGUGUUUUGACUCAGAGGUGGGUGGUUUAGGAGAGACCUCUUGCGGAGUUCGUUGCUCUUAAUGUUGAUGGUUACUUUACAAGUAAUCUUGUUAUUGCGGGGUUUGGUAAUUUGGUUCGUAAUGUCCGCGAUAGGGGAAUGUCACGAUGGAUUUCUUAGCCAAGUCUUUGUUUGACUUUGUUCUCCAUGCUUUUCUUCAUUCUUCUUAAUUAUGCUUUGUUUGUGAGCUUUUAGGCUGAGGAAGAGAGCGGGAACGGGAGUAAGCCCUCCUCUUAUUUGAAAUUUCAAAAUUACACAAAAUCCCCAAGUUGAGUAUACUCCACAAAAUAACUAUAAAAGGGUCAUUGAUGGAUCUUAGAUGCUGGUUUCUAUAAAUUCAUCAAACUCUUCUCCCUUAAUAAAAAAGUCUCGAACAAAGAGAUGCAUUCUGGAUUUCUCAUAAGCCUCCUCAUUCAUUUCUUCCCCUUCAAAACUACCUUGCAAACAGAACCUUUAAAGAGUGAUAUUCCACUAUACGCCCUAGACAACUACUAAUAUUAUUAUAGGCUCGAAAUUGUCUAUAAUAAAUUAACAAACUUCAAAGCUCACAAACAAAGAGUAAAUAAAUAAAGAAAACAAAUAACUCAAACGUACAAUUUCAGUUCUGCAAAUGGCAUGAGUUGGUCCCGCAUUUCCCAAAAUAUCUACGAUGAUGCUCCUGAUGAUGCAAGCAUGCAUCUUUUUUUAUUCAUUUAGUCAAUCAAUGGCUUAAGAAAUGUUUCUAUAAGCAUAAAAGAUUUAAGAAUGAGCUAGGUAAUGAGUAUUUUAAUUUUUCUAGUUAAAUAUUAAAAAAACCCUGUGUAUUAUGAUUUUCAAUAAAAAAUUAUUUUAAUACAACUACACUUGUCAGCACGCUAAUCUAGUCAGCUAUACAGUUUUUUAUACAAAAAUAUAGUCAACUAUACCAGGGGCGGACCCACUAAGGGGCCAGGUGUGGCCACACCGGUUUUUAUUGUAUUUUUUUUAAAAUUUAUAUCGUUAAAAAAAAAAGAAAAAUUAUUUAAUUUCUAUCACCAGUUCUCAAACACGCACGCUUCUUCUCUGUUCUCAGUCUCACUCUGCUAGAAGUGCUUCAAUCCUUUGAUUUUAUUUUCAUGUUAUACAUGAUGGUUGAGAUUUUAGGAUUUACAAAUGAUUUAAGUGAAGCACUACAAAAGCGUGAUCAAGAUCUUUUGAAUGCUUUAUCACUUGUCCAAGCCACCAAAGAAGAAUUGCAAGAAAUGAGGAAUGAUGGAUGGGAAGAACUUAUAUCUAAGGUUAUGAAAAUUUGCAAUAAGCAUGAUAUUGAUGUGCCUGAUUUGGAUGCACCGUUUGUGCAAGGGAAGAAACCUAGACGACAUGCUAUCACUUCUAGUGUUUCUAAUUUGCAUCAUUAUAAGCAUGAUUGUUUAUUUAGUGUUUUAGAUUUGCAGUUGCAUGAGCUCAAUGCUAGGUUUGAUGAAGAGAAUACUGAACUUCACACUGAAUCUACCUGAUUUUGUCCACAUUAAUUUUAUGCCUAAAUUUGGUUCCAAUAUAAUGAACGGACUAAAAUGUGAAGGACAUAUUUCUGCAGUUACUUUAUAUGAAGUUUGAAUUAAACACUCCCAUAAUCAACGUACAGUUGCAGGGGAUGUAUGAAUGUUAUGUUGGAUUUGUUUUCUACAUGGAUGAAUAUAAUGUGGGAUCUCUUUCAUUAUUGUAGAACUGGCAGGAUUGUUGGACUCUUGUUAUUGUUGGUUUAAGUAAUUUGCUGGACUUUUGCAAGGUGCUGUUUUGGCAAAUUGGACUAUAUUGUAAACUCUUCUAUUUCCAUGAGAAACUUUCUCUCAUGGUUUUAUCUAUAAUAUUUUUCUUUUAGUCUAUAAUUGCUUUUAUGUUUAGCCUCACUGAUAUUCAAAGUCUGGAUCCGCCCCUGAACUAUACCAACAUAAGAUAGGUUGGAUUAUUAUUCUUACAUUAUAAUGGUACUAGAAUUGCUGCUACAACACCAACGAGGUAUAAAGCUUCGGAUUUGGUUGGUCAAGUGCAAGUUGUUACGUUGUGUAUUUUUAUUUAAAUUACAACUAGGGAUUGCACAAUUUUAAAAUCCAUCCACCCCGGCAUAAAAAACAUCCACUUGGAAAAAGAAAAAAAUCAAUUUCUUUAACCAGCACUCAUGUUCACGUAAAAUCCAAACAACACCUCUGCUUCAUUACCAAUUCACGUUGUUACUUGUUCCCUCCAACACUCACAACACACAAGCCUAGAAUCAUUGAACCCAACCAAUCCACUAAUAAUCAAUUAUGCUCCUGCUUCCAUAAAGGUACUUAUAUCCAUUAAUAAAAGCGCAGCCACCAAUUAAUAACACUGGUAAAUAGUUGAGUUUCUUAAGCAUUUAUAAUUCAGUGUUCGAUCCCUAAAUGAUAUGUAUGAAAAAAAAUACUCACUCGGUUUCUAAUAUUUUAUUGUUUUAACUUUUGGCCUAAUUUCUAAAACUUUUGUUGUUUUACAAACUCAAUACAUUUUUUCUCAAUUUAUUUCAUGUAUAUACUCUCAUUUAAUAUUAUAUCUCUUACCUACCACAUAUUAUUUUCACAAGUUUCUUAACUAAUAACUAUUAUUAUCUUUUUUCACUCUAAUUCAACAUUAAAUAGGAGUGUGUUUAUAUCAACAAAUAUACCAAUGAUUAUACUCUUAAAUAAUGCGCAUAACCUUAAACAAUAAAAGAUCGAAAACAAGAGAGUAUUUAUUUGAAAGAUCUACCUACUUAAAAGAGUAAUGAUAUAUACACACCUCAUUUUUUAAACACUCAAUUUCCACAUCUUUUUAUUUCUAUUUCUCACAUCUUCUCAUCUAUCACAUCUCAUAUUUUUUCUCUCUUAUUUUUUCUUUUCUUCAUAUCUCUCUCACAAUUCCACCUCUCUACCUCAACCUCUCUACCUCAAAAGAGAGGUGUGGAUGAAACAUUACUCUACUUAAAAUGAUCUUUGUGAAAAUAUCGGUGGAAGAAAAAAACAUGUUAAUUAAUUGACAUAUUGGUAUUUUAUCAGUUACUCUUUCUCGUAAAAGGUAAAAACUGACAAGGUACUCAAACCCCACAAGCCCCUUGCCAUUUAUACCCUUUUGAUCCCUUCCUCUUUUUCCCCUCUCUUCAGUGUCCUUAUGGAGCCUUGUGAUAGGUCUCUCUCGUCAUAAUAGUAGCCUUUGUCUGACUGCUUUUGGCCAAGAGAACUGAUUCAAAGGACACCCUUCAAUCUUGAUAGAGACUAUUCAUCACCAUGCUUUCACAUUUCCCACAAAUUCACCCACUUUGCAUCCCACAUCACAAAAAACUCUUCUUCAUUUCUUUUUCUAAUUUUCAUUUUUAAUAGCUAGCUAGAUGUACACUAUAACUAUAUAUAACAGUACUGUAUAUUUUGUCUCAAUAUUUUUCGUGAAGCUAAAAUAACCUGAUGAAUCGCCCUAUUAAUUAAUGAACCAAAGCUUGAAAGCUAGCAUAUGAUAUAGCAUCUUUAUAUAAGGAACGAAUUGACAACCACGUGUUUGUGAUAGCUAUGCAUCCCAAAGCAAGAAACGUAUAGGUGGUGUCAUAAAUACCAUAACACAGAAAAAUGCAACAAAUAAAUCAUAGUUUAUAUAUAAAAGAUCAGAAAAAUUUAGUCAGAGCUAGCUAGCCCUGAUGAAUAUCUAGUAUCUCUGGUUAAAAGAUUUCGUCGGUUUGUUAGUUUGACUGACCCAGAUCAAGACAAAUGAGAGUUCCCAUAGCUUUUCCCCUUUUCACUCUUUCAACUUUCUCUAUGUUGUGCUUCCAUUUGUACAUGCUCACAAAAAGAAGAUUAUUUCAAUGGGAACAAAUUGAGUGAUUUUCUUAAGAGGGUCUCAUGAGAGGGUGGAAUCCAUUUUUGUGCAGCCAAACUUGGGAUGGUCUUAUCUGUGGUGGGAAUCCUGAUGAUGCUGCAGCAGUUGCUAACAAAUGUGGAGGUCCCAUUUGCCACUGUUGCUGUUGCUGUUGCUGAUCGGACAUUGAUAGUGAAAGAUCACUUCCAAUUCGGCCUCCAUUGCUGCUGCUGCUCGGAACCUACAUAAUACACAACAAAUUAUAUCUGGAUCAACUUCUUUUUCUUCAGAAUCAAUUCUCAAAUCAAGAAGCAAGAAGUGAACAUGCCCUAAUUAAAUUCAACAUGGAUCCUAAUUAACAAGAAGGAUGCUUCCUGAUUCAUCUCUCAUUUAUAUAUACAAUUAAUAAAUUAGCUAAAAGAGAAAUUAAUUGAAGAGGUACUCACAUGAAAAUUUUGGGGGUGAAGGUGUGCAAAAUUGUGAAGAAAUUGAGGCUCUCCUGGUGAUCUAUAUGGACCAUAUCUGUGAAUUGCAUUGGUGGGUGGAGAUUGGAGGUGAGUUUGGCUUAGAAGCCAUGAGGCUUCACUCUCUCCGUGUCCAUUUACAUAGCCUUCCAUGUUGCUUAUACUACAUGGUUUUGGUAGUAUAUUCACCAGCUGAACACAAAGGCCAGGGUGAUUGAUUCAGGUAGAAUUCAAAAGAAAAAUUAAGUGCACUAAUCAGCAAAUAACAAAAUGUUAAGUUGUAUCAUACUAACCUUAGCCUUGUUUCCCCCAUUUCGCCACUGAGAUUCUGGUGGUGGCAGAUGCUGAUCAUUCGCAGUAUUUGGGGCGUGAUUCCCCAAUGCUUGACCAUUGCUAUGCUUAUUAGAGCCUGAAUUACCCAAACUCAAAUCCAGAUUAUGAUCAGCAGGUUUGCCCGAGGAUUCUGCCACCCAACAAUUAAUAACUUCAAUUAGUAGCUGUGAUUGUGAUUAGUAAAAUAUAAACACUUCAGUGCAUAUAAAUCUUACAGUUCAUUUCAUACCAGAAUUGAGCUCAUUAUCAUAGAUGCUUGGGUCGAAAUUGGUGACGGCCUCUUUGCCAUUAGAUUUUAUUGCUGCCUUGUCAUAUGCCCUAUAUACAAAAUGUGACCAAAAAAGUUCAAAACCCUAGCAAGCAUUUAGAUUCAUGGAUACUUUUAACUAGCAAGAAGCAAAGCACAUACCUUGCAGCUUCAACCUCAGUGUCAAACAGACCCAGAUAAACAUACCUGGUGAAUGAAAUCAAAUUUUAUGGCAUAAAUAAACAUACAUGAAGUUCAGGUCAAAGAACAGAAGUAGAAAAUUAUAACUAGAACCUACUUUUUGCCUAAAAAUUGGCCCAUUCUAGCCUCCCAUCUUCCACACUUAUGCAAAGUUACACCUCUAUACUUGGAGCUUCCUCUCGGACAUCCCGUGCUUUGCCGGCGAAGUACGUGCACAAACUCUUCCUUAGUUAGAUUACUCAUCUAUUAACAUAGCAUUGAACCAGAUAACAAUCACAAUUCAACAUGGAAAAAUUAAUGAAGUAUAUGUUUGAAUAUAUAUAGUGGAAAACCAAGUUGAGGCCAAAAUCACCCUGAACAGAAGCAUUUUCCCUUAGUGUCAACCAUAAUUUUGGCCUCACCAUGAGUUUUCCAUCCACAGAAUCUCUCUCACCUGCUUCAAGUCAUCUUCAUAGUCUUCAAUGUUGAAGUUUAUGUCAGCCUCUACUCCCCGGAACUUAAUGGCAGCUCUAUCAUAUGCUCUGGGCAAACAUAGAUGAAUGAACACAACCUUAUAUUUCCUAAAAUGGAUUUUUAUAUGGAUUUGCUUGGAGAUACAGAAAAGUAAUAUCAUAAACUGAGCAAAGAAGGAGGGAAAGAGAGAGAAAGCAAGUGCUCACCGAGCAGCAGCAUGUGCAGUGUCAAAUCCACCUACACAAAAACCACCCAGACAAAACUUUCUCAUCAGUCAUCCCUGAAAAUUUCCCCCAUAAUAAUAACACCCUCUUCUCUGUCUCCCAAAUCAUAACCAUCACAAACUAUAAUCAUUCAACAAAAAAUAAAUAUAAUUAACUACUCACUUACCCAGAUACACUUGUUUUCCACAAUCCCUGAAGAACAAACAAACAAGCAGAACCAUAAAAUUUCAGUGUUGAGAAAACUAGUAAUGAAUUUCAGGAUUGAAGAUACAAAGUACUAACCAUAUGUGAGACUCCCAUCGACCAGUUCUUCUGUAAAAAGUAACUCCUCUAUACUGUGAGCUACGCGACCUUGGUCCUCGGCGACUCUUCUUCAACGGCUGCGACACUUCAACUGAUUUUCCGUUUCCGGCACCGGGAGCUUCCGAUUGACAGAAUUUAACUCCUACCCAGUGAGCACGAGGGAAGGAAGAAGAGCUUCCACCACCACCACCGGAGGGUGUCGCCGUCGCCGUGUCCGCCCCCUCCACCGGAAAAAACUGGCGGGUCACCGGCGGGUUGUCAGUAUCCAUGGGCUCGUUAUCAUCAUCAUGGGUGACAGAGAAUCCGAAUAUCUUGUUUCUUCUGCCGACCAGGCUUGAAUUGGAAAGAGAUCCAAGCCUCUUAAACGAAUUCGAACACUCCUCUGAUUCUGAAUCUUUUCUCUUAACAGGGGAGCCAUUCAGAUCCCACAUUCUUCUUCUUCUUAUUCUUCUUCACUUCUCUGAUAUCAACAACAAACAAAUCACUCAGAAUUUUCAGCUCAAUGAAUCAAUCAAUCAUCCAGAUUUCUGAUUCUUCACAUCUCUCAAACCAAGAAAAAAGGGAGGAAGAAGAAACAAUUGAACUCUGUUGUUGUGUUGUUGCUCCCUACUGUGUAUGCCAACACUCUUUGUCUUGGGUUCUCUGCCUGAGAAUAAAAUAAUGGAGAUAAGGAAAAAGAGAAGCUAGUUGCUGAGAAAUGUUCAGAACUGUGUGUGUGAGAAAGAGAGAGGAAAGAAAAAACCAAACCUACGACGAGUGAGAGAGAGAGAGUGAGAUGUUGGAAAAAGGUGCUAAUAAAGAAGGAAGCUGAUCAAAGAUCUUUGAAUUCCCCUAACUGCCCAAUUCAGCAUACACGAGGCCACUUUCACCUAGCUUAGCUCUCGGGUAUCCACUGCUGACAGUAGUAACUAAAUAUCUCAUCAAGUGUAUUGUACUAAGCAGUUAACGACUAGUCACAACGAUCGAACUUUUGACCUCGUGUUUAAAGAACGAUGUGAGCAACCACCACACCGCGCUGCAUCUUCUCUUGGCUCUUUCUAUUGUUUAAAUUAAUUUCAUUUACAUAAUUAUGAAAUUUCAAUUAAUGUCGAUAUCUAUAUUUUGUUUUGCUUUCUACUGGAGGAAAGUCAUUUUUUAUUUCCUUGUUGUGCCAAUACGUUUUUUUUAAGAAUCAGUGUACUGCUGUUUAUUUCCAUUUUAACAUGCUCAUUGAAUGAGUUGUGGUUAAAAUAGGGAAAGAAAGAACCAUCUCUUUCUUUAAACAACUUUCCCACGUUAACCAAAUCGAAAAGCAUCUAACUAUCUUGCAAGGAAAUAGACAGCGCAAGGAGUUCUAAAGAUGAAUGAUUACUCCAAAUAACCUUUUGUUAACUUCUUCAUCUUCUUAUUAAGAUUUAAUUAUUCAUGAUUAAUUGUCCUACUAUUUUAGUAUUUUUUAAUCGGAUUAAUCUCCUUUAAGUUUAUAUACAUGGAAUUUGUAACUGUGCUGCAGAUAUUUUAGACAGAAAUACCUGUGUUAUUUGGUUGUGUGUGAAAAGGGUCCCCUAAAUCUCUGCUCCAUUUUAUUUGUUCAGAUGUUUUGGACUAUAUACUGUCUAGAUUUUUUGAAUGCAAUUAUUAACCUUGCAAAAAAUCAAAAUCAGAACAUUAAGGUGGUGAAUGAAUCAAGCAUCCACGCUAGCCACACCUCCUCCAACCAUUUUUAUCUUUUUAGGAUUGUGACUAAGUUUUUUAUUUUACCAUGUGGGGGGAUGCUACAGGUACAGGGGGGUCAAAAGAGGAAAGUAAAUAGGGGUGAUAGAGGAGGGUAUUUUGGGGAAGAAGUAAAAGGAAAUGAGAAUAAUAAUGGAAGUAAAAGGAAAGUGUUUCUACAAAAGUCCAAUCCAAGAGUACGGGAAGAGGGCCAUCUUUCCCUCUUUCGUUCGCCAGUGCCUGUACCUCGUAUUUAUUAGCCAUUCCUUACCACUACUACGUCACUCUCCUUAAACUGCGCGUGUUCUCCCAACAUUACUUUGCAUUAUUCAUUUCUGCCUCAAAAUUAAUUUGCACAAGUUUUGUAUUCUUGUGAGUGAAAAUGAUGAACAAUUCGUUGAUUUUGUUCCAACUAAGAUCAAGUAAUCUCAUGACAAUUUGAAAAAUAAUGAACAAGUAAGGCGGCUUAGGGUUAACAUUGCGCUCAGAAAAGUACUUUGUAUAAUAGCUUUACAUAAAAUUUGCUAACACAAUAAAAAUUUAACUCAACAUUAUAUAUACAUAUGUUAUUGUUUAUUUACUUGACACACUACUUAUUUUUACUAAACUCUGUGAUUUUUUAGAUUUUGAGAUCUCCUCUUGUUCGUUUAUUGAUUUGAGUAUAUAAGUAUUUUCUGCAAGUACACCUUCAUUAUGACCACACAACUUUGUCUCACCUACAAAGCCAAGUCAGGUUACACGCCAGCUUUGAAGAUUAGGAGAGCUCAUAAAUCUCACAAUUUUGUUUUCCCAAUUAAAAGGUCAUACAUAUGAAAACAACGAGCUCUCGAUAUUUUUCUUCCAAAAACUAAUAUGAACACAAUUAAUUAAAAAUGAAUCUAUUUAAUGUAUAUGGGAAAAAAGAUAGACACAUGGAUUUUAUACAUUAAUUUGACAUGAUUUAUGUUAAUUAUUUUUUGGGUAUCUUCACAGCCGACAACCAUAAGACUAAUUUUAUAAGACUUUAAGAUUAUGUUAAGUGAGUAAGUCUCUUCCAACAACUCCCUCUAUAUGCACUGCCCAAAGAUUGAACGUGGACUAAAAUUAAUAUCCUCCCAAUUUUUAAGAUAGAACCCUGGACUUUAUGAUUAUGUUAAGUGAGUAAGUAUCUUCCAACAACUCUCUAUAUGCACUACCCAAAGAUUGAACCCCGGAAUAAAAUUAAUAUCUUCCCAAUUUUUAACACAAAAAAUAUAGCUAUUUUCUAAAUUUUAAAAUCAACACUGAAAAUAGAUGAAUGAAAUUAUACUCACCACAUGGGAGCGUUAUCUUACUCUAAAAUCAUAUGAGGUAGAAGUAAAGAUUUAUUUUACUCUUUUCAUAAUAUCUUUUUGUGUUUCCCGAAAUCUUUUAAUAAUAUACUAGUAACAUUUAAGUUUUUAAAAAAUAGAAAAAAAAUACUAUUUUUUAAAUUGAAUUUUUGUGAAAAUUUGAAUGUUUUAUUAUUUUAAGGUGAGCUAUCUCAAUUACUUAAGAUAAAUAUUAUGUAAAAUUAUUGCUUAGUUUGUCAAAUAAUAUCUUAACAAGCUUGCUUGGGAGAAGGGGUUUCGUAGAGUUCUCUGCAAUGUGGACUGUGCUGAUUUGGUAACAGUUUUGGAAGAUGCUAUAGCAGUGCACUACUGCACUUUCAUGCAGAACUCCUGGUGCUCUUUCAGAUUUUACUAUUGUUGCAGGGAGCUUGGGAUGUAAAGGUCAAUUUGAUUUACUGGGAUAGCAAUGCACUAGCAGAUUUAUUGGCAAGACGUGGUGCUUGCAGCAUUUCCUAUGGGUUUUGAGUUAUUGAUAUCCCCGAUUAUGAUAUUAAGCUCCUUCUUUUGAAGUCUCGUUGUCGGUUCCUUAGGUGUUCUUUAUUUUGUUGUAAUUUUCUAAUGCAUCAAAAAAUAAUAUCUUGACGUGUGAUUUGGAAAAUUCUAACUUAUGAUAGAUAUUAAAAUGUCAAUAAAUCACUUGAGUUAAAGUAAUUUUACCCAAUAUUUAUCUCUGGUGAUUUAAACAACCUAUUUUAAUGUAAUUAAUUUAGUGAAAAUUUGAUUUCAAAGAGAAGUACUGAAAAUUUGUUUCCACACCAUCAAUGAUGUGAAAAUUUACUUCAAACAACAAUAAAGUACUUCAUCCGUUCUAAAAUAUAUGUUGUUUAAGGUUAUGCAUAUGUUUAAGAACCAAUUAUUUGAUAAAUAUUUUGAUUGAAAUAUCUCUAUUUAAAGUUGUGUUAUGUUAAGGAGAGAUAAAUGUUAUUAUUGGUUAAGUGGAUUGUAAGAGUUGUGAUAGGUGAAAAUUGAAGGUGAGAACUAAGAGAUACUCCAUCCGUUCCUAUUUAACUGUUCACAUUGAAAAAAAAAAUGUUUCUAUUUAACUGUACACUUAGCAUUUCAAGAGAGCAUUAAAUGAUGUUUUUACAACAAAUGCCCUUGUCAGUACAAUAAAUGAGGAGAGAUAACACGUACUUUAAAGGGUAAAAUAGAAAAAAUAAUCUACACUUUUUCUAAAAGUCAACAAAAUUAAUCACACCCUUAAUAUGUGUGUCUCAACUCAAAGUGAACAGUUAAAUAGGAACAAAUAGAGUAUAAUACUAAAUGAGGGUAUAUAAGGAAGAAAUAGAGUGCAUUGAUUUUGCAAACAACUUAUAUUUUGGUAUAUAGUAUAAAUUCUAAAACAACUUAUAUUUUGGAAUGGAGAAAGUAAAAACUUACUUCAACACCGACAACCAAUUUAUAGAUAAACCAUAAACGCAUUCGAUAACAAAAAAAAGAUAGUUGUCAUAAAAUGCAUUAAUCAAACUUAAGUUGUAAUAAAUAACAAUAACUUUCUCCAAUUUAUCAUCAAAGAAACAACGACUUAAAAAACCUUAAAGAAGUAAGUUUGUCAACUGCGACUUUAAAAACCUUAAAAGAAGUAAUUACUGUUAUUGACGACUUUAACUAAUUAACACCUUGAUUCAAUGAAUGAAAGUCAUAUUUCUUAUUCAUGAUUUUAUUAUAAAAUUCAUUAUAUUAUCCUCUUGUUCAAAUUAUACUAAAAAAAAAAUACUUCAUCCGUUUUUUUAUUAUAAGUUACUUUACGUGAAAUAUUUUAGUUCCUAAAUAUAAGUUUUUUUUAGAUCUAGAAAACCGUAAAUAUCCUUUUUUUUUUUAAUUUACCCUAAUAUUUAAUAUGAAAGAGAUGUUGAAAUUUAGAAUAUUAAUUUAGAUGGAGAAAUUUAUAGGAAAUUAAUAAGGAUAAUAUAGGAAAUGCUAAUAAAUUCUUUUUUAAAUUUGUUGUUAGUAAGUUUUUUUUUAAAAAAAAUUGCUGUUUAACCACUUUUCUUAAUUUAAGAGAAAUAAUUAAGUAAAAGUAUCUUAUAUAUGAACGGAUGAAGCAGUAAGUAGUGAGUUCUACGCUAUAAAAGCUAGUCACAUAUCACACUGCACAUGUAAAAAAUCCAAAGUUGACAAUUAUAGAUGUUUAAAUUUCAUUAUUUCAUUAUCUUAUUUUGAUAUUUGAAGAAGUGGAGAAGAAUAAAGCCACGUCACAUAGCACACCCCAGACAAAAUACUCACUCAACAAAUCCAACCUCAGAAAUUAUACGAACGUGCUGAUAAUAUAAACAGCAUCUCUCUCUUUUUUUUUCUCUCUCUCUCUCUCUCUCUCUCUCUCUCUCUCUCUCUCAUGAGUGAUGAGACAAUGAAAUGAGUGGAGAACAGAAAUUCAAAGGCAUAGCAAACCUUCCCAUAAUGGAAGUGAGACGAGGCUAUCUCUAAUAGAUUGUUUGCCCCAAGUGGAAACAAUACCAGCGAAGUGGGCCUCUUUUCAUUCAAUUAUUCAAGCCCAGGCCCACACCUUUCCCUCUCAUGCAGGCCCACUACCAUUAUUAUCCUCACCUAUAUGUAUCCGACCUAACUUUCCUCCCUUCACUUUAAAAUUUACAUAUUAUCACUCACACCUAACUUUUGUUUCACUAUUUUGGCACUAUGAUCAUACACCUAUAACGGUGUCUGCAUAUUACAACUCCAAACUAACAAAAAAAUGGAUCAUUAAGGUUCCCUAUCUCUCACCAUGUCCGUGAGGACCCUCCUCAAUUUCCCGUUCCUAUAUGAUUACUAGUGGACAAGCAUGAUAUGCCAUGUCUUGUUUGUUUAUUUUCCACAUAAUGAUAAUUAUUAUUACCAAGUUUACAUAAAUCUUGUCUCUUCGUCACACCUAUUCUUGGAUCAAGAUGACUGAGUUCCAUUUUUACGUUGAGAAGACCGAGUUACAAAUAAGGGUUUUUUAAGGCAUGUUUCACUUUCACUAAAUGCUUCAUGUGUCGGGGGGCUUAUGUUUCAGUGUUAGCCUCACUGAUCUUAUUGGAUAUAUAUGCAACCUAAUAUGCAUGAUUGAAUAUAUUUAGUGGGUACAUCUCUGAUGAUUAUGUUCGUAUGAAAGUCAAAGCAAACAAAUGUGCGAUGUCUGAUUAAGCACAAAGAACCAAUCAAUAAUAAAGAAUACAUGGAGAAACCAUUAAAAUCAGUCAUACGACCCUAAAUAAAUUUUUGGCUAGGUCAUGAAUGUCGUGAAGAGAUGACCAAAAAAGGAAUCAUGAUAUGCGUGAUUCAAUUUUGUAAUUAUGUUUGACUACUUAUAGUAAUUAAGGAGUUCAAUGUUCAUUCUUUGUUAUUCUGGGUUGAGUUAGCUAGGGUUUGGUAUCCUAACUUGUAUCUUGGAGGCUUAUUGUGAGAACAAUACUAAAAUUGGAUAUUAAUUGCUUAAUGUUUCUCUAUGUUGAAAGUUUUUUUUUUUAAAGCUCUAUGUUGAAAAUUGACAUUCCGUUGGUUGUAAGAUACAAUUAAUUUUAGGCAAACUUUUACAUGCUGGUUGGUGAGGGAGGGUUAUAAUGCUGUUUCUCUCAUAUCCAAUCAAUGAAUGCCAAGUGGAAUUAUGUGCCAUACCAUUUUAACUUAUAAAUUUUUUAAGUUAGUCCUCAAACUAUUUACCAUAUGCUAAGUGCUACCCCCACAUGAUAAGUGUCAAUCUUACGUACUUUCCACCUUUAUUUUGGCCACUUAUUUAACGUGUGUGCUUCAUUUAUAUAUCAUUUAACCUCAUUUUAGUAGUUUAUUAUAAAUCAAGUUUUAGGUUAGAUUUCAUGUCAAAUACUAGUUUAAUCCCCAUAUUUUGUGUAGGAAAGCAUUGGUUCCUUAAUGCUUGAAGCUUGCUUGAAGCAGGGAAAAUACAGAAGUGAAGAUGACUUCCUUGCUCAAGGAUUGCUUGAAGCAAUCAUUUUACAGCAAAGAUAUUAUUUUCCAGUGAAGAUUGCUUGAAGCAUGCUUGAAGCAAUGUUAAGACGGUGGAGAAUUCUUCACAACGAAGGAAAGCUUGCUUGAAGCUGCUUGGAGCAAUCUUGAAGAAACCCGAAACAGCCAUGAACACUAUAAAUAGGGGAGCUCGAAAUUUAUCAAGGGAAUUGGCCAUUUUGCUUCAUUUCUAGACACACCCAAAUAGAGAAAAACAAGGGAGAAAGCUUAGGAGUCUGAAGCGGAAGCUUGGGUGCCGGAUUCGACGGCGAGACAUCGCGGAGUCUUCGGUUAUUAUUUCUUCUUCUUCAUGAUUUUAAAGCUAUCCAUGAAAAUGGAUAGCUAAUCUCUCUUUGUUGGGAUUGGUUGUAGCCUUUUGGCCUUUAUGCACUCACUUUGAACUUAUAUAUAUGAACCUAUGUUUCUAUGGAUGGUUUCAAUGAUUUUACUUUGUUCUUAAUGCUUAUUUUAGCUUGAUCACCUAAGACAUGAAAAUGGAUUUGAUAAGUUUAGUGAGAACUAGCUAAUUAAAUCUGAUCUAGGUAAAUAUCAUCUAAUGAAUCUAAGAUCUAGAGAUAGGAUUGGAUCAUUAGUCAAACUAACAUCUAUGUUUAAUGUUUCUUGCUUUGUUAAUCAAUCAAGAGAUUGAUGAUUAAUUUAGUAAGAUGAUGAUCUUCACAUAGGGAGACCGUGUAGCAAGAUAAGAUAUGAUGUGAUGAAACUAAUCAUAGUACAUGGUUUAUGUAGGAAAUCUUAGAAUGCAUUUGAGUUCAUCGGUGAAUUCCAAUUCCAACAAUCGUCUCCUCUUGAUUUUAAACCUCUUUUAUAUCGUUUUGUUAAGGCUUUUCACUUAUUUUCAUGUUCAAACAAACAAUCAAUCUUUUUUGAAAACCAUCGUUUGAGUUUGUUGACUAUUGAACGGCGUAAGUAUUACACCUCCCUGUGGAUAUAACAAAACCCUUUACUAUACUACAACUGAAUCUUGAAAGAGAUUCAAGAGUACGUGUGGUGAAAACUCUUUCAACACCACACCAAACAUAUGCAUCACUGGCACCUUCUGUUUCCCUGAUACAGAUAAUUGGUAUCAAAAUAUAAUCCAAGGAAGUAACGCCACUCAUAGACUCUUUCAAAAAAAAAACGCCAACUCAUAGACCACCCCUCAGUAUUGAGCUUGCACUAGCAAUUAAUGGCAACAAAAGACUAAAUUCUAUGAGGUGCUUCACACAACCAGAAUCAUGAGUCCAAAAGCUAAGGCAGACUCCCCAGCACAGAACGAACAGAGGAGGUGAUCAGAUCCCUGUAUUUAAUUGCCAAGAUCUGUAUUCCUCUUUGUACAGCAAAACCGUCAAAACGCCUAUCUCCGACGCCGCACAAUAGUUCAAGACAUGACAGACUCGACGAGUUAAGCCACGGUGGGAUUCUUUCUUUGAUCUUAUUUUUAUCUUCCCCGACCCCUGUUUUUUCCGCCACCAUCUUCAACCUCCGUCAUUGUUGGGAUGACGACGAUAAUGGGUGAGGNNNNNNNNNNNUGGAUUCGCUUUGGACCCCCAAUUUCUCCAGAAAUCCAGUUCAGAUGGGUUCGACGAAGCAUCGAUUAAACCCCUUUCCAUCUGGGUUGUGGGAUAAAAUUAAUUAAAAAACAUAAAUAGUUGAGGGAUAAAAGGCACAACCUAAGAAGUUUAGGGACCUAAACUUGGCAUAAUAAAUUUACUAGUCAAAGUGUCAAACAAAUGAUUUGGCAUCUUUCUAUUGGUCAUUAAGUGGGGGGCAUGACUGCUGUUUAAAAUACAAACAACAUUUUUAAGUUUGCCUUAAUUUUAAUAGUGUGCAGGUUAAUUGCUUUUCGAUUUUGCCUAAGUGUGUGUCUAAGUCAAGGAUAAAGUCGUGCCAUCUGCUAAUUAAUAAAAAUGAUUAGUUAAAUCAGAAUGUUUAUGUGGCCUUAAUUUAUAGGUUCAAGCAUACUGCAGAAUCAAGACUCGUGAGCUACAAGGAUGUGCCAGAGUUCAUUGUAUUUUGCCAUAAAUUAAUUAUUUUAUGAACUCUGGAUUAUGAAUUAAUGAUUCACGGUUUGAUAUAGAAUAUAUUAAUGCUCACGGAAGAGACAAUGCAUUGUCUGUGGCAGCAUAUCUCUACUUUUGCGUAAGAAAGAAAAAAAGGACAUAUUCAAAGAGUAGCGUCUUGUUUCAUUGACAUUAUCGAAUGCGAAUAUUAUAUGUAUCAUGUGUGACAUGAGUUCAUGUGUACUUUCUAUAUAUAGGAAUAAACAUUUUCCAACCAUAGUGUAAUUUGAUAAAUGUAGAAAGGCUAUGGGAAUCCUAUGAAAUGAUAAUUAUUCUCCCUUGUCAUAUCCUUUACAGAUUACUGCAUCUCAUCAUAUGUAUGAUAAGAUUAUUGAUUGUGCUUUUUUACCAAACAACUUGGGAUAUUUUAAUUUUUCAUGAUACCGUGAUGACAAUUAUUGAUAAAAUAUGUGAACACCUAUGCAUAUGGCACAUUAUCUUAUAUUAUGUUAUGUGUAGAUUGAUACUUUGAUAUGAUUUAAAUGGUGGUGUAUGCAUCAUAUAAAGUAAAUAUUGGAUAAAAUACUCCUAAUUUUACGUAGUUCAAUAAUAUUAUUUACACUCAUUCGAUGAAUAUUUUUAUAUAAUUUUUUUUCUUUAAAUAAGCUUAUCUGUAGAGUGGAGAAAAGAGUUAUCAUUUCUUAAUUUUUUCUUUAUAUAAUCUCUUUACCUCUCCGACCCACAAGAUGAUGAGACUUGCUCUCUAGCCAACUAAUCUCGUCGAUCAUAUAAUUGUGAUAUGCACACACUCCCAUUACGAGAAUGAAAUGACAGAGACGAUGAGGUUAGUCCAUAGAUUUUAUUCCUUUUGGUUAACAACUGACUAUGGAGCUUGUUGUGUUCCUACCCCGACUUUCUCUGUUGCGGGCAUUCCCCAUAUAAUUUGGGAGUUGAUCUAGGCUUGUAGUGCCCUGACGAUAUUUUUUAUUUUUUAUUACUAUACACACAAAGGAGGAGUUGGUGGUAGAGUUCCUAUAUGUACUUUGAAAAAUCCCUCCUACAAAUGAAAGAGCCAGAGUCCACCUUAGAAGGUGAGAGCUAACCUAUCACACCACCGAGGUUCCACCCUACUAUCAUUAUGACUUUGCAAUAUUACUCGGUUCAACUCAAUUUGUGACAUUUUCUCUAUCUAAUAAUCUUUCAAAAGAGCUACUACUUGCGCUUUUGUCUUUAUUGUCUAUAUCUCCCUUCUAUUUGAUUUUGCUCUAUUGCUAUUUCACUAGGCUCUACAUAAAUUGAAUCAACCGUUAAUAUUUUACUUGCUCACUUAAGCACAUGUUUAAAUCUUUUGGGGUACACAAGUAGACUUAGAAAAUGUAUGAAUUUACUUGCUCACAUUUUUAAAUCUCAUUUUGGGUACACAUGCUUUUUUUUUUUUGGUCAAUGGGUACACAUACUUUUAAAAGACCUAUUUUUUUAAUGGACUGUAGACCAGAAAAUGUAUAAGGCCUUAUUGCAGUUCAAGCCCGUUAGUGGAAGUACGUAUUUCAAAAACAACUUUGAUUUUUGCCCAACCCUUGAUUUUUUUAUUUUACCUUUUUAGAUAUACUGAUAUUAAAUGCUUGUAGAUUAUUAUUGUAAAUUUGGCACAUCAGGAAAUAAUGUAAACUGUUUAUAUAAUUUUUGAAUAAAUAAAUGAAAACUAAUCAUUGGAUCUUAAUUAUUUUUAUUUGAAGUAUCACCUAACUGAAAACAAGUAAACAUGGUUGGUGUAAAUUAUCUUGUUUUUGUGGCACUUGAAAAUCGUACGGUCGAUAUUUAGAGAUAUUUAUUUUGUUUAAUUAAUUACUUUAAAUGUGGUGUUAUGUAAAUGUAAUAGGGUGGAAAAGGAAAGAAAAUUGACUUGCACUUUGAUUCAUUAUUAUUAUUAUUAUUAUUAUUAUUAUUAUUAUUAUUAUUAUUAUCUUUUACACUUAAAAAGAGAAAGAGAAAGAGAAAGAGAAAGAGAAAGAGAAAGAAAUGAGAAUAUUGUCGUGAACCGGCACAUGGCAACAACAAUAUCUUCGGAUUAGAGUCUGAAUUCUCAAACUCUUGUUCACUCCAACACUCCAAANNNNNNNNNNNNNNNNNNNNNNNNNNNNNNNNNNNNNNNNNNNNNNNNNNNNNNNNNNNNNNNNNNNNNNNNNNNNNNNNNNNNNNNNNNNNNNNNNNNNNNNNNNNNNNNNNNNNNNNNNNCACCGCACCCUUCCUUUUCCAUCCCCCCGGGGCUGGCCGCUUCUCGCUGCCAACAAUUCUGUUCCGGUAAUAUAUACAUGUCUCUCCUUAUUCUGUUCAUGCUUGUGGCUUUCUAUGUAUCAAGUUCAUAUGCGAGCUUUGUUAUAGUUGAUAGCUUCGUUAGACUUAGAAAUAUAAUAAUUGUGUUAUAUUGAAUUAUUUAUGUUAUUUGAUGGAUUCAGUCUUUUUUCUUCACACAUUGGGAUUUUGGUCUCGUAGACCUUUUAAUUAUGGAGAAAAUUUAGUUAAAUUGCUGCUUAUCGAGGUAGAGAGUGUGUUUAUGUUUGAGAGGUUGCACACGCGGCAACUCCUUCCGCUCCCCUGCAGCUAGGGGCUAUUAUUACCGCCUGGACAAUUAGACAUCCAACCCAUAAUCGCGACGACCCAAUUGCAAGAGUGGACCUUGCAUUUGUGCAUUCAUGAGAUAUGACUUAUGAGUCAAUAUGACUCGAUCGAUCAAAGAUUGAAUGACUUAGACUUGUUGACUGCGUGAAUUUAGGGAACCCCUGACUGCAGGGAAUCCGUUUCCUCCGCUCCCAGGGAUGAACGGCGUGUUUCAAUGCACUUCUAAUUUCGCCAGAAUCACUUAUAUUAUAAAAAAAUUCACUCACUCCUAGUAUCUUCUGUCAGAAUCACUUCUUCCUGAUGAGUUUCCAAGCACACUAUGAUCCUUAAGAAUAAUAUUUAAGGUUGAUGGUGAUUUAUUUUGACAGCGUUUUAUGAUCCAUCUAGCUGAUCCACCUAGUGGGAGAAGACUUGUUUGUUAUUAAUAUUGUUAUUGUGUUGGGAUUGAUUUGUUAACCUUACUUGGUCCGAAGAAUCUCAAUCUUUGAAUGCUGUUCUUGGCUGUCAAGAGGCACGGAACCUCCUUUGCUGGGAAGUUUGUACUUGCUAGGCCAAUUUUCAUGCUUUAUCACGAAGAGUAGCACGAAGUCAGAGAACUAGUGUUACUAACAAAUAUAGAUCAGCUUGAUUUUUUUUGCGGGACUGAUGUCAGUAGUUCACUACUUCUAAAGUCUAAAUUUGCGAGAAGUGUAUUAAAUUUAGUGACCGGUUGACCACAUUAUGUGCAGCCAAAAAAUGGAGUGUACACUGUUGGUGACUUUAUGACAAAGAGAGAGGAUUUACAUGUGGUAAAGCCCACAACAACUGUGGAUGAAGGUAUAUUUAUUGCUAAGUUCAUGUCUCAUCUCAUUUUAUAUUAGGUUUCUGUGAUUCUAACAUCUUAUUUUGCAACAGCUCUGGAAAUGCUUGUUGAACAUAGGGUAACUGGUUUUCCCGUGAUUGAUGAUAAGUGGAACCUAGUGAGUUAUUCUUAUCCAUUUUCGUUUUUACAUUUAUUUGUUGAUAUGUUUUAUUUGUAUCUCUAGUGUAUUCAUUAAUAAAACUCUUGUAGUUUUCCAUCUUACAAUUCGUUAUUAGAUAAUUGACAAAAGAAAUUAGCCACAAUACUCCCGUAAAAGAAAUACUAGAAAUCUUUCAGCAGAUAUUGUUUAGAGACAAUGUAUCCUUCUAAAAUUAAAUCUGAUACUUUCAACUUCUGAAUGUAUAAAAUAAUUUCUUAUGGUUUAGUCGCUUGCAUUGGUUCACUUGUAUGUGGUGUGGAGAAGACCUGGAGAAGCAUUGUUAGGAUAAUUGAUUAGUUAGAAGAUAGCCUGAUAGUUAGGAGUAGAGGGAGGCCAAGGAAAAUUAUAGGUCAAACCAUUGAGAGAGAUUUGUGGUAAAUGGUUUAUCUGUGAACUUAAUACUACUUGAUAGAGCAUUAUGGCAUCAAUUAGUUCAUGUAGCUGACCCCACAUAAUGGGAAAAGUCAUUGUUAGUGUUGUUGUUGUGGUUUUAAUUCCUUCUAUUCUUUGUUUAUACUUCCAAAUUUGCACGCGAUUAAUUCAGCAUAUUAUUGUAGGACAAUUUGACAUAGAAAUAAUUUUUGAAGGUUCUUUAUCCUCUGUAGGUUGGUGUUGUUUCAGAUUACGACUUGUUAGCACUGGACUCUAUAUCAGGUAAACUGAUUUAUCAUGCACAUAUAAUUAGAGGCUUGAUUUUCAUCUUUGUUUAUUAUGAUUGUAUCCUUUCCUGUUAUACUGUUGAUACGCUUAACAUCGAUAGUUGAUUAGCCAUAGUUUAGGUGGUUUCAAUCCUUGAUCUGACAGUGCUAACCUGAGAAGGAUGAGUGGUAGAGGGCUGACUAUCAACUUUUAACUCGAUUAUGGAUGUCUAUUAAGUUCAGAUUAAUGGUGCAGUUCUGCCUUUACAGGACAUGUUAUGAUAUUCAGAAAGUCGAGAUUGUUUAGGUUAAUGAUUUAACGCGACUAGCUUGAUGAAACUUUAGAACUUAGGUGAUUGACUGACUUUCCUUUUUAUUUGAACAAGUGCAAACCAUUUACAAUGAGAUUAAAUUGAUUAUAGUGAAUAAUGGCUCACAGAAGAUUAAAUCCCUUUGCCUGUUAUGAAAGGACAUUUUUAAUUGUUUGAUGCUUUUAAAGCACUAAUUCUGAAUUGAGAAAGAGAUUCUAUUACAACACUGUUUUAAUAGAGCCCAGUGCCAACGCUCCUACAGAGAGUAUUUUUCUGCUCUAAAGAGUCAAAUACACUUCUCACAUGUCCCUUUUACUUCCCUAAACGACUACAUAUACUUAAAUAGAGAUGAUGACUUCCUUAUCUGACAAUUAAAGCUCUACACAACAAAUGUUUUAUUCUCCUACUACAAUACUGCCCAACAAUACACAAUAACUUACAAACAAGUACCCAACAUUAGACACCAGCUUACAGGUAACUGCCCUACAUGGAAGUUCCGUUAUUCCUUCUGGAAUAAACCAAUUCGAUAUGCAGAUGUAGACUGGCAGGUGAUGCUAGCGAUUGGAGUGUAGUUGUGAGUCAAUUUCUCAGCUGAUCGUGUGAGUCAUUGGAAUGUAGUUUUUCAGAUUUUAAGGUACAUCAAAGGAUCACCUAGGAAGGGGCUUAUUUACAUGGAUAAAGGUCAUAGUACUAUAAUUCGAUAUGCAGAUGUAGACUGGCAGGUGAUGCUUGCGAUUGGAGGUCCACUUCUAGUUAUUUUGUGCUUAUUGGAGGAAACUUAUUUUGUUGAAGAGCAUGAAACGAACUUUUGUUGCAUGGUCUGACACAGAAGCAAAGUUUUACUAAUACUACUUUUUAGCUUUUAUGUCUUAAACAUUUGCUCCAAGAGUUGAAUUUUUGUGAGAUAGAUCUAUCUGAACCUGCUUGUGAUAACCAAUCACCUAUGUAUCUCUCAUCACAUCCAAUCUUUCGUGAAAGGGCCAGACAUAUGGAAAUUGAUUGUCACUUUAUUAGAGAAAAGAUCCUCUUAGGCAUCAUCAAGACUUCUUAUGUAUCUCUAUGGAUCGAUUGAGACAUAUUGGCUGAGUCUUUGCUCAAGCUUGGGGCAGGGAUUGAUUAUGAUUGUUAUGGCGAUCCUUUCCUUUUAUACUCUUGGUUCAUUUACCAUAAAUAGUUGAUUAGGCAUAGUUUAUAUUUUUUCAAUUUCUCAAUCCGUACUCUUUAGGGAUUCUGUAUAGUCAUUGUGAUUUAUUCGUGUACCAUAUUGUUAAUAAAUACGAAAAGUAUUUUUAGAUUCACCACCAAUUAACUUACUGAAAACCUGACAGCAUUUGCAUUUUGUAGUGAAGAUAAUAUGCAAUUUUUUUGGGCAUGUUUAUGUGUUUCUAUUCUCAAGCAGGGACCCUAAGCUGAAAGAAUUUUUGCAAUGAUGGUUUCAGGUAAUGGGAGGAAGGAGAGUAGCAUGUUUCCAGAAGUUGACAGUUCUUGGAAAGUAUGUUAAAACUUCCAUCACUAAUAGUUAAUUCCUCUUUACUAUCAUAUUCUAGUAUUUUCUAGACUUCAAUGCAAAUCCAUUUAAGGAAACAAAACUUCAACUUGCUAAUACUUAAGAUUAUAAAACAAGUUGAGUUUUAAUGUGCUGGUGGUUUGGUAGUCAGGCCUUAAAGGGCUAGGCUGGCUUGAAGUCCGGCCUUAAAGAGCUAGGCUGGCUCGAAUGGGAAAAUCAAAAUCCAUACAUCACAACUUACGCUUGAUUUUUCUUAUAACACGCAAUAUGAUUAUUUUGCAGAUUUUUUUGUUUAUGAUAACAAUUAAAGGAUUAGAAUAUUUUGUUUAUACUAUUUUAUCAUUUUAUUGCUUUUAUCCUAAAACAAUGUUGUCAGAUUCGUAAAUAUCAUCAUUUCCUCCUUUCCUCCCAAAACCCCUUUUCCAAACAACCUAUGUUGAAUGCUUGAGGAAUGAGGCUGUGUUUGGAUAACAGCCCAAAGUAUGUUUAGCCACCUGGGAAUUAUAAUUGCCAGGAAGAGAAUGUGAAAUCAGGAAUAGCUUACCUUCCGUUUAACGUUAUUGUAAGGCAAACAUACAAAGUUUGCUACUCAUAGUGGUCCUAUAUAUUUGAGUACAAUACGAAUGCCUCUAAUAAAGGAUACUUCUGCUAUGUGAUCUAGAUAUAAAAAACUACCUGUAGCAUUUCAAAUAACAAGUUGAUUAAAAAGUUGUCAAGUUUACUAAAGCUGAAAAUUGUGGUUUCUUGCAGACUUUCAAUGAGGUGCAGAAUCUGUUGAGUAAGACAAACGGGAAGGUAAUCGGUGAAUUAAUGACUACUGCCCCUAUGGUCGUUCGGGAGAACACCAAUCUUGAGGAUGCUGCCAGGUUCCUUCAUCUUUCUCCUUAGUCUCUUUGUUUCUGAAAAAAAUGGUUGUUCUUUCAUGGUUAUUGAGACAUAUAGAAAUAGAAGAGAGAUAAGUGAGAUAUAUGAUAAGUGAUCUAAGAAAAAAGAGAUACGAAGAGGAAAUAUGUGUUAAUACGAUGAAAAAGAAAGUGAGUACUAAUGGAAUGGAAGAGAAAAUUGUUGUAAAUAUAUAAUAGUUGAUUACAAAAUGAAAGUACUUGAUAGUAGAUUGACACUCUAAAUCCACCCUCCACCUUGAAGGAGAUAGAAAUAAAAGAGACUAGACAGAUGAAGGAGACAGAUAUGUGUUUGUUUUUUAGUUAGGGUUCUGUUUUCUCACAUUGGAAAUUCAAAAUGUCAAAUUCAGCAUUCCUAUGCAUUAAACGUAAACGAAGGUGUAAGGUUCCGUUUAUUUGACAUCCAACUAAAAACAAACUUGAUGGAAAUGAGAUGAAAGAAAAUGUUACUGUGAAUAUAUAAUACUAGUAGUUACAAAACUAUCACCUUAUAAACGCUAUUUUUAUUAUUUCCUCAACAAAUCUUAAAAAAUAAGAAAUAAUAUUUUUAUAACUAAAUUAAAAAAAAAAAAAACUUGAUGCCUUUAUCUUGUCAACUUUUAUUUCCCAGUGUAUUCUAAUCUGCCACUCAAGAAGAUAACCUUAUUUAAAUGCCUAUCUUCAGGUUGUUGCUAGAAACAAAGUUUAGACGCCUUCCAGUUGUAGAUUUUGAAGGUAGACUGGUAAGAGACUCCUCUAUUCUGUUUUGUUUUUUAUUACUACUAGUAUUAUUUUUGUAUUUCUAAAGUCUGAUUAUAUAUUAUCUGAAGGUUGGGAUUAUCACCAGAGGAAAUGUUGUAGGAGCCGCUCUUCAAAUUAAACGAGCUAUCCAAAACAAAGCAUGAUAGGAUUUAGAAGACCAUUCAUUAAAUAAAUUGCUGGUUUUCUUGAUAGUGAUUUGAAUUAAGUGGCAGAAUAUUGCUUGAAUUAGAAUUAAAAUUUUGGCUUAGGCAUGUAUGUAAUAUGUAUUAUAUCUCAUGUUGUUUUAGCACCACACGAAUGUUUGUCAUUGGAUAUUGUCAUUCAUAAUAUUUUCAUUACUACAAUUUAUUAGGACCGCCUCAGUGAUAAUGAUGUUGUCAAUUCGCAUCAUUAAUUACAUGUCAAAGACUAAGGAUGAUUUAAUUUCAAACACAAAUUUCAACCGGCAUCAAUCUAAUCUAAUCUACUUCUGAACUAGACUUGUAGUACUACUCAUUUUAAAUCGGUUAGUGGUUGAGCUGAACCGAUGACCCAUCACUAAUAAAAUCCAUGACUACGUGCUCAACAGAACGGUUGACAAUAACAGAUUGAGACCUCUUGUUGUUGUCAAUGUCGGUUCCCAAUUCUUCACCCCUGUUAAAGUUCUUCGUUUGGUAACACAAACCGCCCAAGUUAACCAUUCAUUUACUCUCUCCAUGUUAAUUGGUGCGCUUCCAAUUUAGAAAGAAACAAACUCCUAAAUAAACGAGCUUGAGGUUCUUGUCUUCUUCCCUUGUUCUCUUAUUCUAACAUGUCUUAGCAGUAAUUUUCCUUCUCUCUCUCUGAUAAAAUCACCUUUUGGAUUCGUAUCGUAUCUUUAAUGUGGGAGAUUAGCUUAACAUAGAUCAAUUAAAGCCACACUUACGUCAAGCACUAUGUAAUCUACAGCUAAAAAUCAUAUAAACUAAUGAUAAAAGAUCUCUAAUACUCCGCUAAAGAUGGACUAGCCCUUUGCCACAAAUGAAAAGUGGUUAUAGAUGCAAGCGAAACAACUAUGGGGUACAGCUAACAUCAAAUCAGAAAUCCUUAACAAAAGAUAGUAUUUGUUAAUCAAUUGAGGAGGAGCUGUAAUUUUGCAUUCACAUGCACACAUCUCUUUCUCUCGUUUUCUUUUCUUUUUUUCAUUUGUAUUUUAUGUUUUGUUUCGAUACAAUUGUGUGUAGGAUUUGACUACUAAUAGAAAUUAAAGAAAAAAAAUCUUGGACGACAGAACCGAUUAACCGACCCCAUUAUCCAUCAUUAUCAAAAACAGAGAAGAGAAGUGGCCAUUGCAUUUUCCCUUCCCUUCACACUGGCCCAUUUCAUUUUGCCAAUUGCCAUUCACAACACAAAUAAUCAAGAAACAGUGCAGAACUAGAAAAAUACCUAACUCUCAAUCUUAUCACUUUUUAGAAGUUAUUAUUAUUACUUUAGUGGUUAGCAUGGUUCCCUCUCACUUUUCCACCCAACUGCUGGCCACCGUAGGCCAUUCCUGUCUCCUUCCUCCAUCCAUUUCCCUUCACUCCCACAUUCUUUUCCUUUCUGACUAUACCAUCUUAGCUUUCAUCCCAAAAAUUCCUAUUUUCCACCGACUUUCUUCACAUAAAAGACAUAAAUGGAAGCUUUUUCAACAAAUAAAAAAAAACACCAUCAGAAUCAAAGGAACAGAAGCUAAGGAAUUUAUCAUCUGCCUCUUGUUGAAACAUGAAGAUAACUAAACUAAAGCCACAACAAAAACUAAGAAGAAAAAGAUUCUACUAAUAGAUACUAGUUAAUUUACAUUUAAACAAUUUUACAACGCCAAAAUUUCUCCUGUAAAAUCUAAAAAAAAAAAGAGAAAAGAAAAGAAGGAAGAGAUACAGUACAGUAAUCCAUAACAGUAACACCAACAUCAAAGGCCUCAUCAACAAAGAUCAAUUUGCUUCAGCCGUCAUGUAACCUCCAUGGCGCAUGUUAGCAACCACCACCGACCCAGAAAAAAAAGACAGCAUCAUUUCACUUUCUUCUCAGCUCACAUCCCAUUCAUCCGAACUCUCGGGUUCUGGUAAUUUAUUCAGGUCAACCCGCUCCGCAAAAUCUCCAGACCCGCCGCCUCCACCGCCUAUGAGAAGCUCCGGCACCGGCGCCGCACGAGGGUGGUGGUUGUGGUGGGGAAGGGGAAGAGUUGCCGACUGGAGAGCAUCGACUCUGGCACCGACCUCUGUCGCUUUCUUCCUGAUAAAAGCUGCCGACAUAUCGCAGUCGCCGCCAACGAAGGCGGCGCGUUCUCCGGCAAGAAGCUCCGGGAAGUUGAGGCGCGCGGAGGGUCCCCGGAGGUAGAAAACGGCGGUGUCGUAGGCUCUGGCGGCGGCGACAGGGGUGGAGUAUGAACCGAGCCAAAUCCUGGAACGCUUGUUUGGUUCUCUGAUUUCAGCAACCCACUUCCCCCACUUCCUCAUCCUGAUUCCUUUGUACCUUCUCUCAGCACCACCUUCCACACCACCACCACCUCUCUUCCCUCCUCCUCCUUCACCCUUCAUCUUCUUCUUCCUUCUCUCCCUGGUUUGUUUCAGAGGUCAGAAUCAAGAGAGAGAAAGAAAGUUGAAGAAAAAUGAAAAAUCUAAGAAAAAGGGGUUGUUAAAUGGGAAAGAAGGAAUGGAUUUUUGGAUUGAAGAAUUGAAGAUGAAUGGUUCAUUCAUGCGAGCGAGGACUCACCCACUAAGGUUUGUCAUCUGGGUAAGCCUCCACGUUGGUUUCUUUCUUUCAAACCCCACCUCCUCUAUCUUCCUUUUAUAUUUAUUCUUGGGCUCAUACUAAUAUUAGUCCCGGAUUUCGUAAGCGAGUUUGAUUUUAAUGUUUCCUCAGAAAAAUUAUGUUUAAAAACGGUCAUUUUAUAACUACGAGCUAUUUUCAAUCUGCACUAAACAUAAUUUUUCUCAAAAGAAAUAGAAUCGAACUCACUUAUGAAAUCAGAGACUAAUUUAACUAUUAAUCUCUUUAUUUUUUUAUCACCAAAUGAAUUAUACAAAGCAACAAAACAAACAAGAUAAUCACUACUACUGUUUUUUCUUCUUGUUUGUUAAUUGAAUUUAUUAAAUUCACCGACAAAAUCACUCUCUUGCCUUUUUUAUUUUCCACUGACAGAAAAAAUCUAUUUUGUUUUGGAGUAGUAUUAAUGGCUUUCCCUUUCACCGUUUGGUGCUACUAUUUAUUUAUAAUCCUAAUUCUAAGCCGUCCUUUUAAUUUCUCUAUGGUUGUAUCGAUUUAAUGUAUCUAUAUCAUCACAUACCACCGAGCGUGUACAAGAACAACUAUAUUAAAAUAAAAUUAUGUUUUCUUUAACGAACUGUUUAAGUUUUGAGAUAAUAGAUUGUUUGAUAAUCAGAGUUUUAUUCGUCUAGACUUUUGGUCCGGGUUCGAUCCCCUCUGAGGUAAAAAAUGAUACCGUUGUGGCCAGGGACAUCACUACCGUAUCCCGAGCCAAAUUAGUCACGUGGGUUUUUUUUUUCCCGUUGAGACCGGUGGCUAAAUGACAAAAAAAAAACUUAAAUUCAAUCUUGCUUAAUUAAUAUAAAAUUAUUUAUGUGAAUCUUGCACUUAUCUAACAAUUUAAACUUCUAGGAUAAUUGUUCGUUUGAUACUAACUUAUGUGCGUUUUUGUUUAGUUUAAGCAAAAGCCUCAAUCUAAAGUACUCCCUCCGGUCCUAUUUAUAAGCAUGAAAGAGAAGAAAAAUCUUGGUCCUUUUUAUAAGAACCAAAUGAAAGUUUGAGCUAUAUUAAUUUUUUUUUCCAAUGAUGCCCUUAUUAAUUCUAACAUGUAAAAUGUGUCUUAUUAACUAUUCUCUCUUUCCCACUUUCCAACACUAAUAACAAAGGGUAAUUUUGGAAGUUUGUUUUGAUUCAAGCACACUUUACAUCUAAUAGAUAUCUCGAAUUUAAAUAUGUCUUUAUGCAUUACAUACUUGAUAGAAAUAGUUUUACCGUCAAAAACUCAACCAUAAUAUAUUGUCUCAAUAGAAAAUAUUAUUUUUUUAGUACAUUAAAAAGAAAAAGAUAUAUUGCGUUCUCCAGAAAUUUGAUCAAUUGAUCUUGUACCUCUCUCACCCAACCCAUUUAUCUCAUAAUUCUUAUUAUUUGAGCUAUUAUUCGAAGAAAAAAAAUGGUAAUUUAAGAAAAAGGCAAUAAUACAUAUAUAAAAUUUCUCACAAAUAUUUUACAUCAUUUCUACAUUAAGAUAAAAAUAUAUGUUAUGCGUCUAUUUAAAAUGAGUUUAAUUUUGAUGCACCGACGGUGUAAAGUUUUUUUUUACAACGUCAACCAAUCAAAUUUCAAGGAUGUGAGAAAAUCUCUCUUUUUAUUUAAUUUCAUUAAUUGACGUGGUAUAUCCUUGAAAUCUGAUUGGUUGACGGUCGGUGCAUCAAGCUUUUUCUCAUUUAAAAUAUACUAAUAUGUAUAAUUCUAAACACUUUAGCUUUGUUUGUUAUAGGAAAGGAAAAAAAGAAGUGACGUUAGUAGAGAGAAAGAUAAUAAAUUUUGUAAGUUAUCUAUCUAUAAACUCUAUAAAGGAAGAGUNNNNNNNNNNNNNNNNNNNNNNNNNNNNNNNNNNNNNNNNNNNNNNNNNNNNNNNNNNNNNNNNNNNNNNNNNNNNNNNNNNNNNNNNNNNNNNNNNNNNNNNNNNNNNNNNNNNNNNNNNNNNNNNNNNNNNNNNNNNNNNNNNNNNNNNNNNNNNNNNNNNNNNNNNNNNNNNNNNNNNNNNNNNNNNNNNNNNNNNNNNNNNNNNNNNNNNNNNNNNNNNNNNNNNNNNNNNNNNNNNNNNNNNNNNNNNNNNNNNNNNNNNNNNNNNNNNNNNNNNNNNNNNNNNNNNNNNNNNNNNNNNNNNNNNNNNNNNNNNNNNNNNNNNNNNNNNNNNNNNNNNNNNNNNNNNNNNNNNNNNNNNNNNNNNNNNNNNNNNNNNNNNNNNNNNNNNNNNNNNNNNNNNNNNNNNNNNNNNNNNNNNNNNNNNNNNNNNNNNNNNNNNNNNNNNNNNNNNNNNNNNNNNNNNNNNNNNNNNNNNNNNNNNNNNNNNNNNNNNNNNNNNNNNNNNNNNNNNNNNNNNNNNNNNNNNNNNNNNNNNNNNNNNNNNNNNNNNNNNNNNNNNNNNNNNNNNNNNNNNNNNNNNNNNNNNNNNNNNNNNNNNNNNNNNNNNNNNNNNNNNNNNNNNNNNNNNNNNNNNNNNNNNNNNNNNNNNNNNNNNNNNNNNNNNNNNNNNNNNNNNNNNNNNNNNNNNNNNNNNNNNNNNNNNNNNNNNNNNNNNNNNNNNNNNNNNNNNNNNNNNNNNNNNNNNNNNNNNNNNNNNNNNNNNNNNNNNNNNNNNNNNNNNNNNNNNNNNNNNNNNNNNNNNNNNNNNNNNNNNNNNNNNNNNNNNNNNNNNNNNNNNNNNNNNNNNNNNNNNNNNNNNNNNNNNNNNNNNNNNNNNNNNNNNNNNNNNNNNNNNNNNNNNNNNNNNNNNNNNNNNNNNNNNNNNNNNNNNNNNNNNNNNNNNNNNNNNNNNNNNNNNNNNNNNNNNNNNNNNNNNNNNNNNNNNNNNNNNNNNGUGCAUCGCACGGGUAAAAAAUACUAGUUUAGUAUGAUAAAAGAGAAGAAAAAGAGUGAAAGAGAAAAAUUACUUAUUAUAUUUAAAAAUAAAUUUAUUCCAUUUUAAACCGGCUAAUGCCAAUUUCAAACACAUUUUGCAGUGUCAAUCUGCUAGCUAAAAAAGUGGUGCGACUAACCACUGCACUUCCUCUUCUCUUCCACCAAACAAGGGUAUACUCAUUCCCUAUAUCUCUCCUAUCUAAGAGAAAAAAACCUAACCAAAAUGCCUUUAGGUAAGUUAUAGGAAAACACGAAUUUAGUUCAUGUUUGGUUAGCAAUGUUUUAAGUUUUAGUUAGAAACAAGUGGAUUAAUAUGUAUGGUUAAGUGUGUUAUCGUGUGUAAACAUGAAAAGAUUGAAGUAGUCUUAUCGUGUUUGAAGUUUGAACACCGUAUAUGUAUGCUCACAAAUUAGAAACUCCGUAUGUAGCUUCUCAUUUGACGUAACUCCACUUGCUUGUGUGCUAGCAAAAAUCAAAAGAAACAACAACCUUUCAAGUAUGACAUGCUUCCUUUUCUUUCAUACUUGAUUCCGUGUUGUGAAUAGCCAAAAUCAACUAAAUUCACCAUAAACUACUCAGCAAAUUUAAACUCAGUUCAUUGGAUAAACAAAAUCACCUGACUCUAAAAUAGCAAUCAGCCUGCUGGAUAAGGGAUGUCCAAACUCUCACAGCAGUGCUCCUCUUGUGGACCAGAUCAAGUCCCUCACCUCCCGCUGCUCCAACUUUCACUGGAAGCAUGUUUUUCGUGAAGCUAACUCUGUAGCCGACGCUUUUGCUAAGAAUGGACUAUCCUUGCUCAUGCCUAUGAGGAUCUAUGAUAGUAUACCUCCUUUUGCUUUCGUUCCUUUUAGGUUUGACUCUUAUAAUACUCUCUAUAAGAGAGUUUAGUUGGGCGCUUUAAGUCCCGAAAUUAAUAAAAAAAAAAAGUUCAUUGGAUUCUCACUUUAUGCAUGUCACUUCUACGAAUAUGCACUUCAUGUUUUUUAUGUUUAGAUUAAUUUCCAUCACAUAGUUUUCCUUCAACGAAAACGAAUUUUAUUUUCGUUUUACACAUGUAAAUUGACAUGAAAAAACAGGAACCAUGAAAAGGUUCAAGUUGUGGAUAAUAAAUUUUUAUUAUGGUUUGUACUCUUAAUAUUUCUAGCUCGUGAAUUAUUGAGUAUCUUGUUCGAAGUUUACGGUCGAAUAAAUUCUGAUAAUCGAUCGCAAUCGUAUAUAUGACAACAUUUUUUUUUUUCAUUUUAUAUAAGUUUGUUAAAAAAAUAAAUAUCUUAUUUAAAAAAAAGGGUCGUUGGCGUAAGACGUGAUUUUAUAUGUUAGUGACACAAUUUAUAAUAAUAUAUCAUACUAUAUUAAUUAAUCAAUGAAUGCCUAUCUGGUGUAUGAUGGUGAGCGGUAUGGUUGGUGUUUUUUGCUGGUUCAGGAAACACAAAGAAGGAAUCGAAUUUAAUUAGUGUGUGUUUUAAAAUUCUCUUUUAAUGCUAAAGUCAUAAUCAAUUAACUCAUAAGGAUAGCUCAAUUAACAAUCUACUUUGAGUGUGCUGAAGAUUUAUGCUUGUGAAAAAGAUGAAUAGUCUUAAUAUUAACUGUAAUUAGAUUCAAAAUUUAUAAUAGCCGAUAUCUAAAGACUGACCGAAACCUGACUGUUUGUAAAUAUUUUUUGGUUGUUGACAAAAACAUAUUAUUAAUUAUGGGGAAAGAAAAUGAGAAUUGGUUUAGAUAAUAUUUUGUUUCGUUUUCAUUAUUAAUACUCCCUCCGGUCCUAUUUAUAAGCAACAAAAAAAAAAAUUCGCAUAGUUUAAGAAAUGUAGUUAAACUAGAUAAAAUGCAUUAAAUUUGUCUUAAAUUAAAAUGAACUUCCAAAAUUACCCUUUUNNNNNNNNNNNNNNNNNNNNNNNNNNNNNNNNNNNNNNNNNNNNNNNNNNNNNNNNNNNNNNNNNNNNNNNNNNNUUUGUAAUAUAAAUAGGACCGGAGGGAGUAUUAUUUAUCUGAUAUUUAUUUAAUAAUUCUGAGUGGGAAGAAGGGCAGGUCGGUGGUCGGUGGAUAGAUACCGUUAGCAAUUGACUUUCCCUCCACGCUAUAACGAUAGGACUGCAUGCCCCGUUUUGUCCUUCUCAAAUUUUGUUGUCAUGCACAUGACUAGGGGUUCUUUCGGAAUAAAGAUUAAUUUCGAUGGCCCACGGUGUUAAGUUGUUGUCCUCCUAAUCAUUUUAAUGGGCUUUUUAUUUGCCUAUUUAUAAUUUUCUUGUUUGCUCUUCAAUUAUUGAGAAUUUAUUAUUAUUUGAAGUAAUUUAAUUUUAUUCCAACAUUUUAAUUAAAUUAUUAGAAAUGAUAAUUCUUUGAAAUUUCUAAAGAUGAAUGCCAAAUAGUGGUUAGAUUAAGCUGUAUAUAUUUUAUUUCAAAAAGCUGUAUAUAUUUGAUUUUCUUUAUAAGUAUAAGGCCAUUAGAGUACUAUAAAUACUAACUAUCAUACAAACCUCUCCAACUAUCAACUUAUUAACAAUUAACAAAUACUAUACAAAUAUGGAAACAUCGAAGGAGGCGUCCAAUAUGUGCCAUUUGGAAACAUAUUAUGUGCUAGUAUAAUUGAGGAUAGAAUAACUAUUUCACCGACAAUUAAAAGUACUCAACAUUGUAUCGGUUGCAUUUAAAAAAAAUGUUGAGGCCUGAGGCCUGAGGGUGAUGGUAAAUUGUAUGGGAUGGAUAAUUAAUAAUGAUAUGGGAUAGAUAAUUAGUAAUAAAUAUAUAUUUUUAAUUUAACAUAUAUGCACAGGCAAUCUAAAAUUAAUUUACUCUUAUAUUUAACUGUUAUUUACCCUGUCAUAAAAUAAUUUUUAAGACUUAUUUACUUAAAAUAAUAAAUAAUUUUGUAACAAAAAAAUAAUAAAUAAUUUAACUGUUUAAAUAAAUAUUGUAUGAUCAUACGGCUGAAUGUGUGUAAAUAAUGCAUGAAAAUUAAACUAAUACUUAACUAACCGACCUCCUUUUUGUAUGAACAAUAUCAUUUCAUCAAAACCUAAGAAGAUCAUAUUCGAGAUGAAGAUAAAUUUAUGUUUAAAAAUAUAAUCGUAGAUACGGGGGUGAUAUCUCAUGAUAUGGUUACAGGCUUAUAGCAGUAGCUAUUAAGUAACAAGAGGUUUGUUUUGACUUUUGUUUAUCAAAACAGACAAUUAUGCAUGCACCUAGAAAAUCGCUUAUGUUGGAAACGAUCCAAUAGAAGUGAUUUAUUGUCAAAACAUAUCUCUUUUGUUCAGCGUUUUGGAAUUUUUUUAUAGAAAGAUGAAACUUUCAUUAGUAAGAAAUACUUAGAUUGGAGGAAAGUAUACUGGCUAAACCAACAGAAUACUCCUCCCAGCGUUUUGCAAAAUUGAUUUUAUUAAAAUUUGCUUAUGAAAACCCGAGUUAAAAUUAUGUUAUUUAUGUUGUAAUACUUGUUGUGACAAGUGUACGUAAUUAAUUUUGUAGAAUUGAUUUUGUUUUAUUAGUACCUUUGAACAUCAUUUUUAACUCGUUAGGAUUGAUUUUGACCAAAUAAAGUGGUUCCCAAACAUAGUCAUAACUCUAUAGUAUAAAGCUACUCACAAUAUAUUUGGGUUGAUUAAUAUUUUAUAUAAUAAAUUGAAGAGUUUUAAACCAUUCUAUUUUUUUAAGCGUUUAAUUUUGAUGCACCGACGGUGUAAAGUUUUUUUACACCGUCAACCAAUCAGAUUUUAAAGAUGUGAGAAAAUCUCUCUUUUUAUUUAAUUUCAUUAAUUGACGAGACAUAUUUUUGAAAUCUGAUUGGUUGACGGUGCAUCAAACUUUUUUUUCUUUUUUUAAAGUGUACCAGAGCAAUAUCCAUUGAAGAAGAAUUCUUAGUAUUUUAAUUUUUUUUACUCUAUCCUGUAACAAAUUCUAGAGAAAGUAUUAAAUAUUUUAUAUUUUCAAAAUACUAAAUAUAUUAAUUUUUUAUUUAACAUGUUCUUUAUAUAGUACAGUAAGGAAAAAAUUAGAAUAAUUUCAAACAUGUUAUGUAUGGUUCAGGUGUGGUUGAUUGUAGUCAAAUAUGUGUUAAUUAAAUGUUAUUUUAACAUUAUAUAGAUAAAAUACUAAAAUUUUAUAAAUAUUAAGAAAUAAUUUAUUUUUAAAAGUAAGAAAUUAAAAUUAAUGCAUCUAAAAAACAUACUAAUAUAGUGAUAAAUGACAUACUUCAUUCUAACUUCUUAUUAGAUUUUUUAACUAAAAGUGAUAUUUAAAAAAAAACAAAUAGUUUAAAACAAAUGAAAAUGUAUUCAUUCAAAAUGGUUUCAGAUUUACCAAUUCUUUUUUGAGAAAAAGUUUGAUGCACCGACGGUGUAAAGUUUUUUUACACCGUCAACUAAUUAGAUUUCAAGAAUGUGAGAAAAUCUCUCUUUUCAUUUAAUUUCUUUAAUUGACAUGUCACAUCUUGAAAUCUAAUUGGUUGACGGUAUAAAAUUUUUUUACACCGUUGGUGCAUCAAAAUUAAACACUUCUAAUUAAAUGAAUCUGAUAGAUUUCAAUUCAACAAAAUUAAAUUUCUCAUAUUAACUGAUUACUACACGCGCCAAGUAGUUAUGAGUAGUACUAGAUUGUUUUGUAGUGUAGGACACAGGUCUAGAGGAGAGGAGGUUAAUGUGGUUGUUCCAUGAUUGAUGGAGAAGUCAAAAUGUUUGGUGAAAACCGCACGGGUGAUUUUAUUCUUAAUUUUUUAUUUUUUUAUGGAGUACAAGUGGUGAAGUUAUUCAACGUUAUUGAACAUUAUUGUAGUUGACAAUUUUUUUUUUUUGGUAAAUUUGUAAACGAAAUGAUAAGUGGACAUACAGAUUUUACAUAAUCUAAUAUUUCUCAAUUCUCAUAUUUUACCUCUUAUUUUCCAAUUCUCAUAUUUUCGAUCAUUUAAUUAAAUGAAUAUGAUAGACUAUGCAAUCAUUUAAUUUUCGCAUAUUUUCUCGCCUCCACUCGCCUACGCCCAAUCAUCAUCCCAAACUAUGCCUCUCUGUGACUCCACCCGCAACUACCCAUAGUCUUAGCAACCUCGACGUCUUCAUCAACAAUGUUGGUGAGAUGGUGCCAGUCAUGGUGUUUGUAAGGUUUAAUGGUAAGAUUGUGUGCGUUAGAGAAAACAUCGCAUUUCUCUUUCUUCUUUCGAUUUGAAACCCUUCUUUUCCCCACAAUCUCUCAUUCCCUCCCAACUCGUUGAAACCCUUCUUCGUCCCAAAGGAACCUCACCCUUAAUCUAUUACUUCUUCCCAUCUUCUUCUUGACCAAUUCUAGGGCAAGCAAUACUUCCUCAAAUACACACAAGUCGAAUCUAAUUUGGAAAGUAAGACAAUAUUGUCAAGACCCAAAGCCACCAUUCAGAUCAAAUCAAUUAGGGUGAUUGAUGAAGUCACAUAGAAACAUGAAGGAGGCGGCACCAUCCUCAUGAGUGAAACUAAAGAACGAGAGCAAGAGUUUGAGAAAGAGAUAAAACGUUAGAGAGAGAAAAGGGAGACCGACGAGGGAGAGAGAUAAUGUUAGAAGAGCUCUGCUUUGCUGGUUCAAACUCAACUAGGGUGGUUCAACACAAUGGUGGGGGUCCUAGCGUUUCUAGCAUGGGAAUGGUGGAGAAGGAGGCGAGGGGAAGGUGGCGAGGGAGAUGGUCCAAAAUGCCCCUUGAUACACCAGGGAACCAAAUUUUUAAAUGUCAACCCUAUUCUUAACCAUAUACCUUAAUAUUUGAUACUGUAAGAUUGCGACACGUCUAUUAAAGAAUAUUAUUUAAAAAUGUCAUGCUAAGGCUGUAAUUUGGAAAAUAUAACUAAUACUCUCCUGAAAUUGUAAAAGUGAUAAAUAUUAGGGAUAAACUAUCAAAAUAGUAAUAACAGGAGGUAAUACUUCAUACUAGAACAAAAUUGGAAAAAUCAUACAAAAUACAAGUACACCUAAUAAUUUUCGAGAAACGAGAACUCCGGCGAUGAGUCAAAUAUCAAAUAUAUGUUCCACGCCUGUCGAAUUCCAUGAUCAGUUUUAAGUUUUUCACUAAGUAUGAAGUGGCAUAUAAAUUACACUAGCAAAAUUACAACACAUAAGAUACACAUCAAACAAAAUUGAUAUGAAUUAUCAUAAAUCCAUCAAAAGUAAAAAAAAAGUACUUCUAUAUAAAAUUUACAGUCAAUAAAAUCCCGGGUGAUCUUUUCCAAUGUGAAACUCUAACACUACGAAAAAUACAAACAAUUAACUUGGGCCGUGGGGUCCUACUAUGUAUUUUAAGAGACUGAAAUUUGAAAUUUGCAAAUUCUGGGAUAAAACCACUCAGCAUCCAUUCUAUUGUACCGGGAAAGAACAAUUCAUAGCGCAGCACAGUGUGUAUCUCAAUUUUUUUUACUUACUAGCAUGUAACUUACUUUGGCUUCUUCCGCAUUCCCAUCCGCGAUUUAGCAAAUCUAAAAUUAUCAUUAAGUAUACAAAACAAAUGUUGGUGAUGAGAAAAAAAAAUCAAUGAAAGAAAACAAACAGGUAACCAAAGGAUACUCUAAACGCAUUCCCUCGCCAGCUGGAGAGGAGUGAAGAAUGGUGCCUUGCAGAUUGUUUAGAGCAUCAGCGGAGCUACCAACGUCCUGCACAUAAAGUUAGCAAUCAAUCUGGGAGCUUUACAAGAUGCACUUGUCGUGAUAGUUCACAAAAACCUCCUAAUAAAAUCAUGCAAAUCAAAUAUGGGAAUAACUAUAAUAUUUAGGUAAUAGUUUUAUGCAAUUUUCAACAUGGCUUUCAAUGCUUUCACAAGAAGAAGCAUGCUGACUGCUGAGUGAUAACACUCCCAAGGGUAAAACUUAGGUGCUAUUCUUUAGGUACUUUUCAUGUUGUUGACUUGUUGCCUAAUUAAAAACUCAACUACCCACUUUCUUAAUUCAUUAACAUAAUUUUUCAUUUUUUUAUUCAUGUCUCAUCAUAUGCAGUGCAAAAAAAAAGGACAACAAUAAAGAAACCUGGAAAUCAACAAAUGCAACUGGAGCCCCAUAUGUGCUCUGCAUCUUCAGUUUCAAAAAUCCAGGAUAUCUGAUAGAAGAUACAUACACCAAAAUAAAAUCAACUUCAGCAUCUACGGACUGUAUAGAUACGAAAAUAAUUCGAACAAUACAUAUACACUGACCUAGAAAACACUUGUAUUAGCUCUUGUUCAUUACAAGACGGCCCCAGAUUAGCUACAAAUAAAGUUGCACAGGGGAUUGUAUUUUGAGGAAUGUAAGGUAUUGAACACUUUUUCUGUCAACACAAGAUAUGAAAUAAAAACAAUUACUUGAAGUGGAAAAUGCAAUAAUUUUAAAUUAACUAUAGUCCUAGAUGCAAGAGAAACAAGGAAAAACAACACGGUUAGAUACAACAAUUUAAUAAAGCAUAAUAAUGUUGACCAGCCUAAUCCAUGUAAAGCAUAUAACUGAGAAACAUUGUACAGUUUAACCACAAAUUUUAAUAGUCUGGAAAAAAAAGAUUAUGAGAAAAGCAUUUUGAGUUCACCACCGAAAGAUUUAACCAUUUAGAACAGCUAAUAGAGGUAAAUAUCUUAAGGUGAUGCAAAAAACAGAUAGAUUGAGUGCUACAUAACACUAACCAGAUUUCCAUAUAGACCAUCAUUGACAGCAUUUCCAUCAGCACUCCCAUAACUUUUGCAGAAAACAAACAAACAGACAAUUAGAUGAGAUAGCAUGAUAUACAAAGGCAAUAGCCCAAAAGAAUUUCUCUUGUACUAUAAACACAUUAGUUAUUUUCUUCUAAUAAUAUAGAAUGAGUUCCCCAACAGCAGCUCAAAAUAAUUAACUUGUAAUAUUGAAAAAUGUGCUCUAUUUGAGUUAGAAGCAAUGACUUCCAUAUAAUAAAGGUGUGAUUAAGUAGUGCAGAUGACCUUUGUGCAGAUGGAUAACCAAUCGUGUUCAUGUUGAUAGAAGGAUUACCCAUUCCAGGCAUGUGAAUGCUGCUAACACCUGCUAGUGCCGAAGAGUGCAAAACAUGUGCAAUGUGAGAUAAAAGUGUCCUUUUGUGUGAUCAACAUUUAACUAGUCUUUAAGCAAGAGAUCAUCAACAUCAACCGCAUAUACAUAGAACAACAUCCUACACACUAAAACAAUCUAGCACCAUCUUACUUACCGGAAUCAGGAGUCGCCCAUGACGGUGCAGACCCUCUAGCUUUCUUAUCCGAGCCACCUCUCUCAUCAUCUGCUCACCAAUGUCAAUCAACCAUCACAAUUCAAUUCAAACCUCUUAAAAUGUAAAUGGGAUUAGGAAAAUAAGGUAAUCAAGACACACACACACCUAUCCGCGUUCGCUUAGAUCUAGAGUUGGAUUUGGCAAGAUCAAUAUAAAGAGUUGAAUUCUUUUCAAGAUCAAACACCAUCCCCUGCAAACCACAGCAAUCAAAAUAUUCAAUUCAGACACUGAAAACUGCUACUGAGCAUGAAAUGUAUGUAACACAAAAGAGCCUUACAUUCAGAGCAUGCAUUGCCAUUACUGCAGAUUGCUGAUUCAUGAACACAGCAAAAGCAAAAGGCUAUCGGAACAAAAAAUCACGUCACAGAAAGCAUAUCAGUAAUCAAUCAAUGCAAACACAAUUACAAGAUAAUCAAAACAGUUGAAAACGCUUUGCAGUUUGCAGAAUCGAUUAUUAUUGUACCUGUGAUGAAUUGGUGGGGCUACGAAGAUGCGAUGAUUCGUAACCAGGAAAUUCGCGGAAGAGGUUGUAGAUUUCGCGGGGUUUUACAUCUUCAGGGAGUCCAGCAACGAAGAGGGUACGGACCUCGUGUGUGGGGGAUUGAGGAAGAGCGAAGGAAUUGUAGAGAGGUUGUUGCUGGUGGUGAGGAACAUACUGCGGAUGCGGGAAAACGGUGCCGGGAGGAGGUGGCACCACCGUCAUGAUAGGCGGCGGCGGAGGUGGCUGAUAAUAUGAAUAAUUGAGAAGGGCGGGUGGUUGGGUUUGAGCGUAGUAGGCAGCCAUGUCGUCCAUCGGAGCACUAUUGCAGUGGUUCGGAAGCCCUAGAGUAUUUCAUUUCUCUCUCAACAACUCCUCUGUUUUUUUUGUUGAAUUGUUGUGCUUUUCAUUUUCUUGACAAUAUUGGGCUGGCCCAUUAGGGAGCUGGUCUUCCUUAUCUGGGCCUGGCCCACUGGGAGUUUUGCAGUGAAAUUAAUUUAACCUACUAAGUCUAGACUAUAGAUUGACCAAAAAAAAAUUCUAGACUAUUGCAAAGGAAAAAGAAAACUGAAUGAAGAGAAAAAUUGGAAGCAAGCAAUUUAUUUUUAUCUUUCUCUUUCAUGAACUUUACAAUUUAUAGUUAGGGUUCAACCCUUGGGGUGUGUAUGUGAGUUCAAUUUUGAGGAGAAGGAAAGGGAAGAUGGAUGCUUGUGAGUAGAGGCAGGCGGAGGAACAUGAGUGGGGCCCAUCGAUGUCACAAUCCUUUCUAUCUUUUAGAUUUUUAUCUUAAUAUUAUGUAUGUAUAUUUUUCUUAUGACCUUUGUAGUCAGCUUAAUAAAAUAGAAUCAAUACUAUGUAUUUUUUUUAUGGCCCACUUCCAAACACGUACACAAGGUUGCUCAAAUAAAUUUAUAAAUUUUUGUAAUUAGAACGUUAUUAUCGUCGCAUUGAUUCUUUUUUACAGUACUCGUUAUGGUAUGUUGGAGUGUUUUUACAUGUGCCCAUAUACCAAUACGUCUAUAAAAAAAAAAGGCAAACUUAAAAAUGUUGGUUGUGUUUUAAACCCUCCGGCGUCCCUGUUGUUUUCGCCCGCCGUCGUUCAUAAACGUGCCAGCGCUGUUUCUAAUCGUAGUUCAUGGGCAUCGUUAUCUGGUUCCCUUCAAGAGUACACUCUGUCGCCGCUGUAGCCCCCAAUUCUUUUUUCGUCCUUCAUCGUUUGCAUAAACCUUUUGAACCUUCCCCCGCCACAAGCCUUUUUUAUCUGAUAAGAAGCACUUCCGCAGCAAACCCCUUUUGGGGUUUUAAAAUUAUUCAGAUCUCUAUGAAAUUUCUACUUUGAGAUACAUGAAUUGAUAUUCUGGGUUUAAAUUGAUAUUUUCAUUCUUGGUUUCCAUUCAAUUGGUUGUUCAACAAUUCAGUCUGGCCAAUGUUUUCUGAUAACAAUUCACACGAAACAUGUUAGGCACAUGUGGGAAUUUAUGAUCACCUCUGCUAUACAGUUUCACUCAUGGAGGAUGGGAGAGGAAGAGAACGACAUCACAGACGAAGAUGAACACAGAGGAGAGGAGGAAGGAUUAGAUUAAUAUUUGCCCCAAAUCAACUUGAAAUGUUUAAAAUCAACUAAGGUUAAAAUCAAUUUGAAAAUCAGAAAGUAAACAUUUUCUAAAAAAAAUGUAUUUUAAACACAUAGUAAAACUUAUAAUAGAGAUAUUUAGAGGAUCAAUUUAACAACUUUAUAAGUUAAAAUGACAUGACACAUUUCCACACUUGGCAUUCACUGAUUGGGUAUAAGAGAAACAACAUUAUAACCCCCUCUCACCAACUAACAUGUAAAAGUUUGCCUUUUUUAUAAGCCAAAUAUCGUAAAAACUCAAGUAUCCCUUACACGUAGAUAUGAGAUUUUAUUAUAUAAUUAUUAUCGAAAUACAACAUAAUCAUAUAAAGUUCAAUCGCUUAGCGAGGAUCGUGACAACUCAUGGGGAGAUUACACCAUCUCUUUAUUCUCUCUUUGCUAGUUAUUGCCAUAACACAAGUACUGACUCAACAAGGGUAAAUACCCUCGUGCAAUUCCAGCUGCUCAGUUUACCCUGCAAUUACAACUUACUCACAAGUUAUAUUUAUAGACAUAGCUAGCUAGUAAGCAAGCAAGCAAUUUCUCUUGCAGAAGCAGAAUGGGUGAAUUUCGUGGAAGCAAAUCAAAAAAUUGUACGUAUGAGUGAUCGCAGGCUGUUUUCUUCUUUAAGAUGAAACACGGAAAAAAUCGCACACGAUCAUGUUUUUCCGUUCUUGCUUAAAGGGAAUUUGAAAUUGCGACCAUGCAAUUGAAAAACGCUGCUUUCUUGUUUUCUUUCAUUGAUUCAAAGCAUCUAAUUCAUCAAUCAAGAAUGAUACGUGUAGCACGUUGUUUUUGUUCAUUGAAAAACGCUUCUUUCUUGACAUUAUUACAAUAUAUAACAUUCAUAUCUAUCAUUUAUAAUAUAUCUCUAGUCCUCCCAAAAGUUGUACACAAAUUCAUGACUCAUGAGUACCUAUUAAAACAUAAUUGUUUUUUAUUACCAAGAUAUCCCCACAAUUGAUAACAAUGAGACUAAUCUUCUCGAAGCUUGAAGAUCAUAUUAAACGGAUAAACUCUUUUUAAUAAAUCAUUCUUCAUACAUAUUACUCUAAGAUUGAAUCCUCGACUAAACUUAAGGAGCUUAGUUAUCUACCAACUCAAAACUAUGACUAAAACGACUUUUAUCAAAUUCAAAAGAGUAAUGCAGGUUACAUUAACUUAAUAUUGUUUGUAAAAUUAACUACAUUAUGCAAUAAUAACCUCAAUUGCCACACAAAUGUAUAUCAUAUCAGAUACUACCUCCGGUCCUAUUUAUAAAAAUCAAAGUUAAAAAAAAUUUUGGUCAUUUCUAUAAGAACCAAAUGAAAGUUUGUGUUAUAUUAAUUAUUUUUUUUCCAAUGAUACUCUUAUUAUUUCCAACUAGUAAAAGUGUAUCAUUAAUUAUUCUCUCUCCUUCACACUCUUCAACACUAAGGUUAUGUUUGGCACGCCUAGCUAAUAAGCUAGCUAAAAGAUGAAAAACUAGCUGAAAACUUAUAAGCUAGUUGAAAGCUGAAAGUUGAUAAGCUAGCUGAAAGCUGAAAAGCUACGUGAUUGGAACAAAAGUGUUUGGUAAAACUAACUAUUGAACAAGCUAAAUUUGUAAAAUGACAUAAAAGGACAUACUUAUAUAAUUUUUUUAUAUUUAACAUUAAUUUGUUUUCACACUAAUACCUAUAUGAUAUUAAUAUUAACUUUAAAUAUUUUGAUUCCACUCAAGUUAUUUAUCAUCUUAAAAAUAUAAUAUUAAUUAUUACUUAUUUAAUUUUCUAUAUUUUUAUUAAAUUAAAUAUAAUAAAACAAAUAAUUUGUAAUUUGUAAUAUAAAGUUAAAUAUAAUGCACAGCUGCUUGUGCGUUAGUGUUGUGUGGAACGGUAUGCAUAUGAGAUAAGUGUGAUAACUGAUAAGUAAAUAGGUUUAGUAAAAAACAUAUAAGGCUAAAGGUGAAAUUUUAAUAAAAUAAUAAGGAUAAAAAUGAGAAUAUAUUUAAUAAGUUAUAAGCUACCUAAACUACUGAAAUAAGCUCAUUCACCAAACAUUUUUAAAAAGUUUUUAAGCUAGUAAAAUAAGCUUUAAGCUAGCUGAAAUAACAUGUCAAAAAUAGCCUAAUACUACUACAUUAGAAAAAAGAGUAAUUUUGGAAGUUUAUUUUAAUUUAGGACAAAUAUAAUGCAUUGUAACUAAUUGAACUACAUUUCUUAAACUAUGAGAUUUUUUUCAGUUUUUAUAAAUAAGACGGGAGGUAGUACCAUGCUAAGCUUUAUUACAAAUAUGAGGAUUGAUGAGGAAUUAAACAGCAACACCAUGUCCUAGCUAUAUCUUAUCAUGAACUUUUGUGCCAUACAUAAUAUAUUAUAUGAGCAAUUAAAUAUGAAAUUUAGAAGAAAAUAUAGGGUUAAAUGUUUUCGGUCUCCUUAAAAUUGCAAAUUAUUGAUUUUGUCCCCUUAAUUUUUUUUAUUAAUGUUAGUCCCUCAUUUAUAAAAAUGAUGAGGUUUUAGUUCUUUAUCCAUUUUAAUAUGCAUUUUGUCGCGGCUUUUUAGAAGGUUUAAACCGUCACUAAUAUAUUUUACGUCAGUUUUUGUGUAUUAGUGACGGUUAAAUUGCCUCAAAAUGCUCCACAUCAGAAUUAAAAUGGAUAGAGGGAUCAAAACAUGAUCAUUUUCAUAAAUCAAAGAUUAAAAUCAAUGAAAAAUCAAAGAAGACUAAAAUCAAUAAUUCACUAUUAAAAAAUAUAUUUAACCCAAAAAAAUAUAUGAAGUGAAUCUUCCAAACCUUUAUAUAAGUGACAGAGUAGCUAGUCUAUCAAUUAUAAGAUUAUACGUUUGAAAACAAAUUAAAGCUGGUGUAUCUAUCAAUUGGGUACCAAAUAUAAACAACUUUUUUAUAAGCGAUAGAUAUGGUAGUUUGAAUGGGAAAAAAAACCAAAAAGAAAACCCCUAUGGUAAAUGAAAAUAUACGGUAAUUAAUUAAUAAAUUUAAAAAGUAGUUUAAGUAAUUGAAUUUUACAUGAAUUUUUUUUUCCCACACUUGUCUUACUAGCUAAAUGAGCUUGCUUGCAAAUGAGCUUUGCUGUGCAUGUUAUUUGUAUGGCAGAGAUGAUGUGGCACGCCACGUGUGUUAAUGAGAACCAAAAUCAAACAAUUUUUCCCUCGUGUGUUAAGGAGUGACAAGGCCCUUGAGUCAAUUGUUUGAUUUCUAACGUUGUAUGAUUAGGGAUCGAUCUGGUAUUAAUUUCUGAUACCCAUUAGCCAUCUUCUCCAAAGUUUUGAUAUCUUUACCAUAAUUUUUCCAAAUUUAACAAAACAAUAAGAUUUUCAAUGUUCGUGGAGAUUAUGGGUUCGACACACUUCGAGGAGUGGUAGAAGUGAAGGAGAGGACGGGGUGGCUGUGGAGGCUUGAGGUUUAAACUGAAAUUGAGUUUCUGAAAAUGCAUCAAGAUGAGGAAUUUGAAUUGGGAGUGCAAGUGUUUAAUUAGUUUAUAAUUAGAUUACUAAUGAGAUAAUAAAAUUGAAGUGGGAAAAUGUUUGAUUUAGGUAUUGAUCAAAACACGAGAUCAGGCACAUUAUCUCCGCCGCACAUUAACACUUGACAUGCUCACCAUACCUCAUUUUCAAGAGAUAACUAAAAGCGGGGUUGGUGGUGGCAGUGGCGACAUUAAUAGUUGUGGUGGUGAUAGCGGCGGUGACGGUGGUGGUAGUGGCAAUGGUAGUGAUGAUAGAAGUUGCAGCUUGUUUCAUUUUCACUUAAAAUGAAAAUGAUUUUUUUCUUAUGUUUUGGUCAUAUUUUAAAAAAUGUUUUUGAAAAAAAUAUUUUCUAAAUAUUAAUCGAAUAUGUUAUCAGCUGUAUUUUUUAUUUAUAUUGAAAAUGAAAAUAGGAAAUGGGUCAAUUCCUACUUUACUAGUAUUUUUUUGAAAUUUACUUUACUUGGUAUAGUGAUAUCAAGGAAGUAAAAAUCAUUAAGCGGCUUUCAAGAUCUCAUUUUAAUUACCAGCUAAACAUACUAUUACUAUUGUCUUUAAUAAUGGGAAUCUUUUCAAUUGGUGCAAUUAACUAAAUUAAUAAAGCAUUAACCUAGACAGAAUCCCAACUAAUCUGACCCUUGUCAUUAAUCAACAGUUCAAAUUAAUUAAGUUAGAUCGAUGACCUCUCGUCAAUGAACAAUCUAUACCUAUUUUAAAAAUAUGUAAUAAUACUUAUGGAUCAAAUUAAAAUAGUUCCACUCUCUUCGUUCCAUGUGAUCAGAUUGCUUUCUCAUGGAAUAAACACUAUACACAUACAGAGCAAGCCUUAAUGCAUGUGCUUCUUCUUUUAUUUGCAAGUACGGAUGAAGUUGCCGGCAUUGACCCAUUAUAUAGGUGUUUUGAAAUAAGUAAUUAGUAAUUAUGUAUACACAACUCAUUUUCUUUUUGAUCAUAUCAUUUUCAUACAUUUUUCUUGUUUCUGCAUUUUCUAAAUAGAUCACAUAUUUCUCUUUUUUCUCUUCUUUAAGGUGAAGGGCUGAAAGUGGAAAUAAAUUGUUAACAUAACAUUAUUCGUUUAGAAACUGAUAAGUCACUCCGAUCAGACUAGAGACUAGAGACAGGGGCGGAACUUGGAGAGGACAUAAGGGAGCCAUGGCUCCUUCAAAAUUCUUAGAAAACUCUUACAUAAUGCCCAUGAUAAAAAAAAAAUGUUUCACUCAUAUUAUAUAUACUGUAAUUUGUAUACUGUCACACAAACUUCAUGGUGACUUGGUGGAAAGUCAUCAUUCCUCUCUUUUUUAGAUACUGGGUUCGAAUCCCGUAUAUGUCAGUAUUUAGGUUACUUUUUUCUGUUUCACUCCCUUAACUAGCUUUAGGUUAGUGUGUAGAAUUUUUAAAAUGUCUUUUUAAAUAAUUUUUUUUGAUAAUCUCUUUAAAUAUUUAUUUGUUUUCUCUACUAUUAUUUAAAUUUUUAUUUAAGUCAACAUUAUUAAUGAUAAAAAAAUUCAGAAAACAAAUUAUCAAAAGGUAAUAUAAAUUCAGUCAACAUUAUUAAUAUAUAUAUAUAUAUAUAUAUAUAUAUCAAGAAGGUAAAAAUUGAAAAAAAAUGAGAAGUAAGUUUUUAAUUAUUAACAUAACUUUUAAUAAAUUUUCAAUAUUCAUGUAUAUAAAUUUCAUCUUUAUUUUCUUUUGUAUGAAUAUAUACAUGUAUUGUUGAUAAAAUAUUUUAAUUUAUGUAUUGAAAUUUUAUUUCGGCUCCCUUAAAAUUUUCCUCCAAGUUCCGCCACUGGACAUGGAGUUCUUAAAAAUAAGAACUAGUUCUUAUAUAAGAAGUUUUACUUUUUGAGUUAUUAGCAUAAAAAAAUUAUUUUUUCUUUCUCAUUCAUCAACUUAUUUAAUUUAAGUAUUGAAUUAGAAUUUAAAUUUAAAUCAAAAUUAUAUGAAAAUAAAAAAUAUUACUAAUAUAAUGGUAUUGUGAGACCAGAUGAAUAGUGCUAAGAACUAAGAACUCAUGGUUGGAGCAAAUCUACAGAGAGUUGCUUAAGCACAUGUGGCACUACGUGCUCACAUGAAUAGUGCCAAAAAUUAAGAACUAAGAACUAAGAAACUAGCAUUGAAGAUGCUCUAAGUACUCUCUCCAUGGUAAGUCAUGGUUUUCUCUCAGUCAUGUUUGUUUUGUUACCAAAAUGAAGUAUAUGAGAUUCUGCAUCUGUGAUUAUUAGGUUUGGAUUUAGUCCUUGUGAGAGCGACCAUAGUGUUCAACACCUUGUACUGCAUUUAAAGAAGAAUAUUUUGACACACAUCAGGACAGUGCGUUCGUCUGUAACACAAUGUUCUGGAGAGCUUCUUGCGCAACCAAAAAUCAAUCCAAAUAGUGUAAAUAAAAGCAAUGUAAGUGCUAUUACUUUACGUUCUGGAAAAACAACUAACUCUCCUGCACCCCUUAAAAUUUUCCUCCAAGUUCCGCCACUGACUAGAGACCCGUUCAGUCACAUGAAAAUGAAAAAAUCCUGAACUGGUUGAACUGGUAUGCAUCGAUGCCUAGAAUCGGUGUUAUAGACCAAGUUAAACAAGUGAAUUUUUUGCAUUUUAAAAAAAAAACUAAGUAUUUUAACUAUUUAUUUUUUUAUCAUAUAAAUUAAAUAAGAUAGUUGAGGACAUAUGAGUUGAGAGGGGAGGUACAUGGAUUAAUCUUUAAAUGGUGCAAUUUAUCUUUUCAAUAUAAAAAAUAUAUAAAUUAAAUAAGAUGAAAAAUUUAUUAUAAUUGAAAAUUCAAUCAUUCUAAUUUUUUUUAAUAUUGUAUAUGAAUGUAUUACAUAGUAACUAUAGUUUAAUGAUGCUUGUCAAUGUGUGGUGCCUUAAAUGAUAUAGACCAAUAGAAAACAUAGAAUUUAAACUUAGAGGAAGAGGAUUAAGGAAGAUUUGGAGGUUCAAUAUAGGUGGAGAAUGAAGGAAGAUGAUCUUAACAUGGAAGAAAUUUAAAUGAUCUCUCGGAGUUAUAAGUUCAACUAAAAACCUUAAUUUUCAAAUUGUGCAUUACAUAACAUAAACAAACUUAAGAACUAUAUGUUAUUAAUUCAUCAAGUCGAUCAUAGAACUUUUUAAAAUUAUAAUAAUACAUACUUUCAUCUUUCUUUAACCAAAUAACAAAAUUAUAACUUAAAAUAUCAUAUGGAAUACAACACCAAAAAAAAAUCUGCGUACCCCAAAAUUCACCCAAUAUAAUUGUGGUUCAACUAUUAAAUCUUGAACUGAUGUUUCGACUAAUUCAUGAUUGGUCCGACUUUUUAAUAUUGAUUUAUAUCAUACAACUUGCAGCCAUGCAUGGAUAUUUGGAGGAAGCUGACUUUUAUGCCUCUUUCAGUGCAUGAGAGAUUUGUAAAAGGGCACGUGCAUACGAUUAUUUAGAAAAGUAAAUUUUAAACUCUAUUUUUAAUAAUGAGUUUGGAUCUCACUUGGAAACUGAUGCCAUUUUUUUGAAGAAACUUGAUAAUGGUUAUAGGAGUAGGAUUAGUAUAAUCAGAGAUCGGAGACCAAUAGUGUGCCUGUUUGGAUAGGAACUGAAAGUCCGUUUGCUUCUCUUGAAAUGUGUGUGCGUGAUUUCCAAAGUGCUCAAACGCGAAAGAUAAAAAUUGUUUCGCUUACGUUCACGUUCAAUCCAACAUAAAUACAAACAGACCAAGAGUCCAUUCGGCAAGGGGCUUGGGAGUAUAGCUUGGCAAUAAUCUCUUCUAUAAUUCUAUAAACAUGGUUCAUACUUGCUCAAUGUAAGUUGUAUAAAUAUGGUUCAUAUGUAGAUCAAUUGUUUAUUAAAUUACUUUUGUUAGUCAUUUUCUUUUAAACUGCUACAUUCGUUUCUUACUAACGGUUCAUAAAGAGAAAUAAAUAGGUUGUAGGCAUGUAAAGAAAUACAAUUAAUUUUUUUAAAAAAAAUAUAAUUUAUUAUUUAUUUUACCUUUUAUAAUGCAAGUUAUCUCUUAUUUUUUUAGUAUAAACAUUCGGUACUCGGUUACCAUUUGAAUACUGCCAGAUUCGGGAUUUAAUUAUAGUUAAGACUCUUCAUCCCUCCCCUAGAGUUUAUUGUAUGGGGAUAGAACCCGAUAGUUAUUCUCACACACUCAAUCUGAGCUACCCCUCUUAAGAAAAUAUCAAUUAAUACAUUUUAAAAUCCGAAGUGGACAGAAAAAAAAUUGGGAGAGGUAGUAAAUCACAAGCAAAUCCUUCUGAAAAUAUCAAAGAACAACAUCAAUUAACAACAUAAUAAUCAAGGAAAUUUUCUUAGACUCUUAUAAUAAUGUCACUGGUUCCCUUAUCCUAAGAUUUGCUGAAGAUUCAAAUGCACCAGCUCCAUAACUAGAACGACAAGAUGCAAUUUUUCUUUCCUUUUUGCUUUCUUGGAAUACAAUAUGAUGAGGUGAAACUUAGCAGAUGACACAGGCAUUAGGAUUCUCUUCCACACUAGUGUAAUAGUAAUGUGGCUGUCUCAUCAUCUGAUUCUGACAUGCUUCAUAUACCUUCGCAAUAUCAACCAUGUUCUGAUUAUGAUUCUGAUUCUGAUUCUGAUCGGUUUUCUUCUUCUGAUCCUCUGGCUUCUUUCUCUCUUCUUUCUUAGGAGGUUCCUUGGCUGGUCCAACAGAGAGUAUCUCAGUAUGACACAGCUUCCUCAGCUUACCCACCACUGCCACAGGGUCAAUGUCCCCAGUUAAGGUCAGUUUCUGCUCAUUCAUAUCCAUAGAGACUGACUCAAUCCCUGCAUAAAGCAUGUCAGUGUAUAUUUAGAAAUUUUUCUCCUAUUGAUUCUUAACUCAAAAUUCAUGUGGGGAGAGCUAGCAGCUUUUGAAUUUAAAAACUGAUUCUGAUGAAAGACAAGUUAACUCAAACAUGCUAUUUAUCAACUAUGUACAAAAUUACAAGGGGUUGAAAUUCCAUACCUGAAAUAUUAGAGACUUUCUUCAUAGCUUUUUUCUUAAUUUUGUCAUCGAGUAGUUCCACUUUUAGCACUACUUUCUGCCAGAGUGCAAAUAAGAUCGACGAGUGUUAGUUAGGACACUUGUAAUUUAAUCAAUCUAAUAAAGAAAAACACCAAUCUUCAAUUUGUUUUUCAAGAGACGAAAAGACAAGCCUAUGUUGAAAUUUUGACACGAGAUCUAAAGCUUUGAGUGUCAAAGAGUGCCAAAAAAUUAAAAUAAACAUAUAGAUUAUAUAGUUGAUCUAUGAUGAUGAAUGAAUGAUGAACCAUGCAUGGAGCUGGAACUGAAACAGAGCAAAACUAAAAUUAGAAGCUUUCACAAUAAAACUUGGAGGGGUGACAAAUUCUUACAUUCAUUGAUGUGACGCUGGUGAAAAAUAAGGGAAGUUUUGUUUUGGAAGUUCUGGUGUAUGGAAGUUCAGUUGGUUGAAGGUAUUUAAAGAGAAAAAUAAUAAAGCUACAGAGACUAGUGUGUGAGAUAGCGAGAUAGGAAGUCAACCCAAGUCUAUAAUUAUGAAAAAUAACAAUGAUAUAUUCACACCUCAUUUUUUAUACAUUUCAUUUUCACAUAUAUUAUUUCUAUUUUUCUUCUCUUAUUAUUUAUCGCAUCUUAUACUUUCUCUCUCUUACUUUUUCUUUUAUUCCUAACUCUCUCCUCUUUAAGAUGUGAAUGAACGAUUAUUCUUAUAAAAAAUGUUUAUAGGAAGGCUAGUGUUUUGUUUUUUUUUUGGUAAAUUCUUUUCUUUUUGGUAAAUGACUAGUGUUUUGUUUAUGUAUGAAACAAUCAAUCAAUCACGUGCGUUAAUACAUAAAAACCGUCAUAAAAAAUUUAAUAUAGAUUAAUUUCACAUAUUUCAAUAAUAUUGGAACUAAAAGCUAUAACAUCUUUUUAAGGAACCGAAUUCAAUUCAUAGGAAUUAAAAACAUGGUUAACCAUUUACUUGUUUAUUUUUGUCAAAGUGCCACAGCCAAAAUAAAAUUGAAGCUAGGUGUAAAGGGGUCUCGCAAUCAAGAGCGUGUUGACCUUUGUUGGUAAUGGAUUAAGUGUGUGUUUGGAUUUCCAUGUUAAAUUCAAUGUAGAUUCAUAUUGAAAAUAACCUGUUAAAAUUAUGCAUCUACAAUUUAUGUUAAAUUUAAUGUGACGAAUUUCAACUUCUUUGAAAUACGUGAAAUCAAAUUUACUACUACUAACCUCUCUAAGAGCAUCUUCAAUGGAGUCCUUAUUUUGGGACCUUAAAAUAAGAUCCGGAUCUUAUUAGAUCUCACCAUUAGAGCUAUCCUACAUGGCAUGAGAUCUUAGCAAAAGCUAAGAUCCGUGCCUUAGCUCAGGUACUCUCAAAUGUGAGAUCUUAAAUAAAAUAAUAUUUUUUUUCUCUCCUUCAAUACCAUAAUCAAAGUGAAAAUUAGGGAGGAAAAUAAAUAAUAUAAAAUAUAUUGAGUACUGUGGGCUCAGACAAAAGUAAAAUAAGAUAUCAACCAUUAGAGUAAAAUGUGUAUGAAGACCUUAUGAGUGUCUUAAAUCCUAUGUGGCAAUUUGGGCCCACAAAAAUUGAGUUAAGUCCCAAAAUAAGUUUAUACCAUUGGAGAUGCUCUAACAAGCUUCUAUGCUCUUUGAUUUUAAUAUAUUAUCCAUUUAAAAAAAAAACCCUCUAACAAUAAACAAAGAUAGACUAAGUGAUUUAAUGCUGCACAAGAAAGUGCAAUAACAACAUACGAAGAGGAACAAAAGAAACACACUUUAGCCAACCAACAAAGAAAGAAAAACAGAAUUGACAAGAAAAGGCUAGCAAAGGAACCCCCUGGAGAUGGUUAUGGCCCAUCACAAUUAAGUGGGCCCAGCAGAAAAUAUCUAUUUGAUAUCUGAGGCCCGUACUCAUAGCUUUUGGUCCCACUAAUCACCUCAUGACGGAAGGGAGAAUCUUGGGCCGAUGGGUUUCAGGCACAAACCCUCCUUAACACGUAAGUAACGCCUUCCCGUGUCGUUUUUGUUCAGCAACCGACUCUUUCCUAUGUCCUUCAUACUUCACAGUUUUCAAUUAUUCUAUAACUAUUUUGUGGACCUUGGACUUCCUUUAAAUAAAAAAUAUUGGUGAGAAAAAGUUGAAGUGAAGUUAUAUCUGAAAAUAUCGUAUGAAAAUAUCUAUGUUUAUAGUGCAACCUUAUUUUAAUAAUCUAAAUGUGAUAAAAUAUCUUAAUUUGUCACAUUUUAUAUUCCCAAUCAAUUUUGUUAGCUUUAUUAUUUUUUCUUUUGUUAGCUUUAAUAAAACAUGAAAAACAAGAUAAUAUCUAAAUUAACAUGGGUGCUUCAAUGGGGAUAAAUUUACCCAUUAGUGUGUUAAAUCUUUCUAAUGAUUAUUCAGCAAUUUAAACUUAAAUUAUUAUUCUUAUUAAGAAUUUAAUUUGUCUAUUACUAAACUAACGCAUCGAGCAUGUUUAGGCUGUGUUACUUGUGGUAUGAAAAAAAUCAUAUUUGCACAAUUUUCUUUUUAUCCUUUUACAUGAUUGGAAGUUCACAUGGCACUAGCAGGAAUUGUAUCCCUUGGAGGAAAUGUGACAAGGCAUAUGUUGUAAAGAUAUGUGCUUUUGACUUUGGAGAUAUUUUGUUCAAAAUGCAGUAAAAAAUGGAGUGGUAAUUAACAAUAUGAUAUUGAUUAUUUUGUUUAUCUUAACGACUUUAUUCAUUAUCUAAAAUUUCUAAUUUGUCCAUGCAUGAUGUGUAAAAAAAUAUGGAAUAUCCAUUAUAAAUUGAAUUGCAAUUAAUAGAAAUAUUUAUCUCAAACAAGUUUCACUUAAAGCAAAAAGGUAUAAAAGAAGAAAAACAUUUUUCACAAUUGAAACCAACUAACUCUCAUGCUUGUACUUGUAAGAAAAUCAACAUUCCAAUAAGUAAAAUCAUUUAGAGCAAAAGUUGGGUCACUUUUUCCAUGAUACAUUGCCUCCAUCUCCAUCCUUGUAUUGUAUAUAUAAAAAAAAAGACAUUAGAAAAUAGUUAGAAGGAAGAACACCAAGCUUUAUUAAAACGCAAACCUAGGAAAAUAAAAACACUUGAUUUGUCAAAUGUUAUGGCCAGCAAGGAUUGGCAGUUGUAAAUACUACUUUAGAUUCUGCAGUUAAAGCCAUUUUCUUUCUCUUUGAAACCCCACGAAAAUGGUGUCAGAAAACCCGAAUGCUUCAGAGGCUAUAUACUUGGAACCCUUAGCAGAUUCGGUGGAGGACCCUGCCAAGAAGACACGCAAACCAUUCACCAUCACCAAGUCUAGAGAGAACUGGACCGAACCUGAGCAUGAUAAGUUCCUUGAAGCUCUUCAACUGUAAGAAAAUGAAAAGUUUUCCUUUUUUUUCAUCUUCUUCUUCUUAUUUUGUUCUCAGAAUGUAGUGUGUGAAUUUUGAAGUUCAACUGAGACAUGGGUUUUAGUGGUACCCUUGUGUGUGUGUGUGUGUCACUGUUUGAGUCAUGGUUUCAGGAAGCUACUUAUGGAGAAUUUUCACAAUUGUUUGUCAAGGACUGAGAUUUUGGUAUUUCAGAUUGGUUUGGCAGGGGAAGAAUAAAAGAUGUUAGGAAUGGUCAAUGGGGAGGGUAGAGUUUUAUUACUACUGUUAUCAACUUAUCAUUGUUAUUUGGUGAUUGUUGUCAAAAUACACUAUGUGAAUCAGUGAAUGUGAUCAAUUCAUUCUUUUUGGGGGGGCUUCUUAUAAUGGUUGAACUUAGUUUACUAUUCCUAAAUGGAAUUUGCCAUUUCAAAUUUAAGCAAUUUGUUUGUUUUUCCUUUUUCCUGGUCUUGGUGUAACCAUUUAGCAUCAACUCAUUGUUUUUUUUCUUUCAUUUUGGAUCCAGAUUUGACCGUGACUGGAAAAAGAUUGAAGCUUUUGUUGGAUCAAAAACAGUUAUCCAGGUAAUUUCAAGUGCAAUCGUUGAUUAGAAAUUGUCAUAAGCUGUUACUUCUGGGUACCAUUGGCCAUAAAUAUUUUGGAUUGCAUUAGUUAUCUUAUAAUUUAUGGAAUCAGAAUGUGAAUAUUGGUUAUGUUACAUUAAGGAUUUCAUCCCUUGCCAGAUAAAGUGUUGGAUGCUGGAAAUGAAAUGCCAAAAAAGGAUAUUUCCCUUUCUCUCCCUGCCUCCAUUGCUAAUUGGACUGAUUUCUUGAAAACCCUGAUACAUAUGACUUUUCCUUUUGUUUGGUGGGACUAAAAUUGUGAAACCUGAUAGUCAUAUUCAUAUACCAACUUGCUUUUCUUUUGAGGAAAGUUCCAAUAGCAUUCAUUUAAGAUUAACUUAAGCUAUUAUGCGGGUUCCAUGUGCUUGUUAUACAAGGAUCAAAUCAUGCUGUGACUUUUAAGUAAAGAAAGUUGAGGACAAAGAAAGCAUUAAGCUUUUCAUAUUUUAAAUUGUGGACUAAGCACAGGCUCAUCAAGCCUCAUGCUGAAAUGCAAUUUAGUUUAGAAGAAUAGAGAUUAUAAGGAUUAAACUCAUGAAUAUUUAGUCACAAAAGUUUUUGUACCAAGUCAAAGAACCAACUAUCCUUGGUGUUUACUGUUUAAUAUGUUAGUUGUAGCUUUGGGAAUGUAUUUAUCGUCUAACAAGAAUGAUGCAAAUUUUCUUAAAUGGGAUACCAUCAUUGACUAACAUGAAAAGCAGACUUCUUUUAUGUUGUUAAAAGAAAGAAACAGUUUCAUUGGGGAAUAUUUUAGAAUAUCUUUUAAAUGUCUGUUAGUUGAGUGCUUACAGCUUAAUGGAUUCAAAGAUGUCAGUGCAUAUGACAGUUGGGAGUUGUUAGGAUUUCUAUUACUUUUUCAUGUGCUUCAAUGUUUAAUGGAUGCCUCAAGUACCCAUAAGAAUGACUGCUGAUUUUGUAGAUACGUAGCCAUGCACAGAAAUAUUUUCUUAAAGCUCAGAAGAGUGGGAAAAGUGAACAUCUUCCUCCACCCAGACCAAAACGAAAAGCGGCUCAUCCAUAUCCUCAGAAAGCUUCCAAAAACGGUUACAAUCUUCACCAUAUUUUGUUUACAACAUAUUUUAGAUUAAUUGUAUCUAAUGAUUGUAAGUGAUAUUUGACAGUUCCAGUACUCUCGCAUGUUUUAGGAUCCUCUCAAUCUUCAUCUGCUUUGCUUGAACCUGGAUCCAUCCCCAAGCAUGAAUCUUCGCCAAUUCUUAAAACUCCUAUACUUAACACUUCAGUUUCUUCCGGGUCAAACAACACUUUGCAGACAACAGCCAAUGUAUUACAUGGUACUGAAAAUUUAGAUUUUAUAAUCCUGGAAUAUAUUUAUGGAACUUGUUUGGAUAGUUUUCGUAUGAUACCAACUAGUUUGUUGUGUUUAAAUAUUGUGUGUUUUAGGUCAAAAAGUGAAUAAUUGUUGCAGCAGCAAUGAAAGCACUCCUAGAGCACGCGUGGUUGGUGAAUCUAAUGGUCAAGGAAAUAAUAACCAUCCAUUGAAAGGCAAGGGUUUAAUGAUUUUCCUUUCUAAUUUCAGUGCUGUCAUCUUUGAUUGUUACAUUAAAUUUGAUGUGUGCAUGACAAGGUUAUGGAGUGUUGUUGUAAGCAUAAUUUGUGCACAACUGCAUAUUUCAGCAAUUAUGUUAUUGCUUUAUAGUGUAUUCCUGUUUUAUUAUCAAGAAUAUAACUGUGUUGGGUCCAAAGUAAGUAUGGAGUCUCUUAAUUUCCAAUCCCCUUCUUGGACAUGAAUCUUGAUUAUCAUCAUCUGAGUCGCCAAAAUAUUCAUUUGAUAUUUCCUUGAUGGUACCUUCAAUUUAUGAAAUUUGAUACGCUUUCGUAUCUUGAACAUUUUGUUAUUUUAAUGUGUACUCAACAUGUGGAAGUGAUGUCUGUCCUGUUUUUCUUGUUCUGCGACUCAUUUCUUAUGAGAAUACCCAGAAAGCUGUCUUAUCCUCAUAGGAGUUUUACAAACUCCCACCUACUCAUGUCAAUAUAGCUACAUACAUUCGAAGUUAUGUGCACAUUUCUGCAAUAAUUUUCUUUUCAUAGAAUUUACGCAUAUGAUUUUUGUAUCUUUUUUAGUAUUUAUUGUUGUCUCACUGUUUUCCAAUGUCAAUUUAAUUUUCCCCUCAUUUGUAAUGCAGUUCUUCCUGAUUUCACUCAAGUAUACAGAUUCAUUGGCAGUGUAUUUGACGCAAAUGUAACUGGGCAUCUACAGAAACUUAAAAAGAUGGACCCUUUAGAUGUUGAGACGGUAUGUGUUUGUGUGAUUUCUUGCUUUGAACUCCCUUAAGACAUUAAAGCAUUAUUUCUUGCUUUGAAUACCUGUGUUAAUUUGUGUCAACUAGUACAAUUCAGAAGUUCUGAGACAUUUCUUCUUUUUAUGACCUUGAAUAUUUUUAGGUGCUGCUGUUGAUGAGAAACCUGUCUAUCAAUUUAACAAGUCCAGGUUUCGAGGAUCACGUAAGUAUUCAUGCCACUGAUCUUUGGAUUACUUAAUGCAUGAACCUCACCACUAUUUUGACCCAACAUCAAAUUUUCUCUUUAAAAGAACUUGUUUAAGGAUCCUUACUCCUUAGCUUUAGAAGGCCGUCCCUAUAUAUUCCUCAUCUUUUGAAAACUGUCCAUCUCCGACAAAAGCAUCUUAUGCAGAUUGGAAAUUUCAUCUUCAUAGAAACUUGAAUGACUAAAUUAGACAUCAAAUUGCAUGACCAAUGAAAGAAGGAACAAUAAUAAAUUUCAUUUAUAUGUGAACCGGUUGUAAUUCAUGCAGAGAAGGCUGCUCGCGUCAUAUGAGGUGGAACCCGAGAUAGAUAAUUAUAUCAAUGUAGAUCAAGCCAUGCAUGAUGAGCAGUUGAAGAGUGCUACUUAGAUGGAGGGGAGGUUGAAUAUAAAAUUGGCUGUUUUUCAUGCAUUUCUGCAUGAUGAGGUAAGAUGCCUCGGCAAGAAAACAAGCUGAGAUUCCAGCAACAGUCUUAUGAUCCUGCUCUAAUUAGUGGCUUAUGUUGCUCAUCGAUCAUCUCAGCUUAACAAGGCUUUUGAUUCCCACAAUUCGAUUCGGUGAUGUAUAUAUUAAUGAAACAUAUUAUAGAAGAAAAUAAUAAUGCUGGACUCUAUAGAUUUCAUAUUUUUGUAAUAUCCGAGACAGUACUAGCAAGUUGAUGACUUUGUAAACAAUAUAUACGUUUGUUUGCCUUAGGAAGGGAAUGCAAUUUCAAAAAGGAUGUAAAAUACUUCAUAUUAAUGUAGUGUUUAUUCUAUUUAAUUGUGUUUCUAUUAUUUGAUAAAAAUUGUUAUUAGAUUACGGAAUUUGGCUCUAAAAUAUAAUUUUUUACUAUAACUCAUUAUGUUGUAGUAUAUAGUUCUUCUACUAAAACUAUAACAUGUAAACAGUAUAUACGUUUGUUUGUCUUAUUCUGAAAUUUGUUGAGAAAAUAAUAAGGAACGGAAACUAAUAGCAAUGUUUACAGUGUAUAACACAGCAAUAUCAAAAAAAGUCUCUGCAAUUCAACAUUUCACGUCCUUGUUGGAAAAAGUAGUAUGCACCAAAUCUUUUGUCAACUGUUAGCCUUUACUGUGUGUCAUAGUAUGAAGUUUCAGGACAUGAAAUUUCCAUGUAUCUAGGAGAGAUCUAUUUAGUAUUUACACAACUUCAUUACUGUUUCAACAAAAGUAUGAGAAAUCUGUGCAGACAAUUGUGAUCUUUUUAGACUUUUUCAGACCAAUAUUCCAUCUACAUCCCAACAAUUGCUGGCAGUGGUUCAAAGUCUGCUACUGAAAACCUCCAACAUAAGGGUUCCAGUUCCUUGCGCUAUCACCAUGAAGAUCUAACAAUGAGUAGUUGACAAGAUCUAACAAAAUCAGUAACUAAAACACCACAUAAAUUUCAUUUCUAAAAUGACUCAUAAAAAACAUUUGACAAGUGAUUUCUUACCAAGACUCGGUGGUCUUAUGAAACCUCCAUAGCUCGAUUCAUGAUAUCCUAAGCAACCCUGCAUUGAGUUUAGCUUUUGGGUGCAACAAGUCAUGCGAGAUGCAGGCAGGUGUGGUGGAACUGGAACACCAGUUUGUGGUUCACACAAUGAGCUGAGAUUAAGUUUGCUUGGAUUUAUCAUCUGCUGGAAUUUCGAUUGACCGACUUCAUGAUCAAACCUUCUCAUGUCAUCUUGGGAAAGAAGGAAAGGUGGAGAAAUUGAGUUGGAUGGGAAAGGGUGGGAAAACAGAGAAAAUGUGGGGGAACCAAUGAAGUUUUCUUGAAAACUGUUAUGACUUUGUUGACCCCUUCUUGGAUUCAACUGAUUAGAACAGAGCUGAGGGUAAGGUUGCUGUGCAUGCACAGGGGGGUAAAAGCCCGUUCCAGCUCCAUGAUGCACUAUAGGAUCAUCAAAAUGUGGUGCAGGAGUACUGUCAUCAUCAUUGAGUAUGGACUCCACUAGCUUUUCGAUCAUCUCAUGAGGUGAUCUUGGACUGAACCCAUCAGCUUUAUUUGGACUUGUUUCAGGGUUAGACAUGAAAUUAUCACCCACAGCCGAAUUUCCCACCUCUGGCAACAAGAAUGAUCCAUCAAAUGCAAUUAAACUGUCCUCAUCAGGCCAGCAAAUUUCAGAGCUAGAAUUUGAUUCUCCAUCUAAGCUGUUGCAGGAAGAAUUUAACUCCAACUCCUCCUGAGAUUGGAGAUCAGGGUUGCAUCGAUCUUGCUUCGGGAUGACUGGAAUUGCUUGCUUGACAUCUUGCAAAGACAAAUUACUUAAUUGCAACUCCACGGUACCUUGCUCAUAUGCCACUCGACAAAGGUUUUUCUUGAAAUUUCCGCAAUUCUCUUGGUUAUGGAAGCUUGUUGGUCUACUUUUCUUUAGAGAUUCCAUAACUUGGCAAGUUCCUAUUGGAUAUUCCACAUCAAAGUUUGAACAUUCUUCAGACUUCAUUAGGUGAUCAGUAUCCAACGCUGAAAGAUGACAAUAUGUGUUUAUAUGGUUUCCAGACGACUGCCAUGGAUUUACUAUUUUAUCAGUAGUUAAAUCUUGCUGCCUUUGUGUAGAACAACUUUUAGUCAUCUCCGGCAAGGUGGAUGGAUGAACAGAAUUGCCUCUUACAGCUCCUUCAAUCAGACUUAGUUUCGAUGAAGCAUCUAAUUGCUCAUUGAUCAUAAGAUUGGAAAUAAACUGCAAGAUAUUUGAAUUUCUUGUUGCUGGUGUCAUCAGAAAUUCCUCUGAACGAUCCUUCGAAUCUAUGUUUUGUAUAGAAUUCCCCUUGCCCUCCUCCACUUCCCUGACUAUAUCUGCACAUGAUUUCUCUUAAUGUAAUGUUAAAUACUAAAAUUUAUACCUUCCAUUUCUUUAACAUUCUUUAAUGGUUUGUUUUUUUAUCAGCUCAAAGAAGCUGAACAGAAUUGGCUAGUCAUGUUAUAAUAGGAAAAACUAUAUAAUAACCUUGUGGUUGACAAAUUGAAGGCCUAAGAAGACAAUAAAGAAUUGAAAAGAGAUUUGACCUUUUCUCCAACUUUCCCGUUCUGUUUUCUCUUGAAUUGUUCCCUCAGAAGAUACAGAUGUGUCACCGUUAAGCAAGACAUUGCUGUCUCUAGGUGGAGGUAGUGCCUGAAAGAACAGAAUAUUAUGAAACAAAAUUUUGCAUGCCUAAGUCUACCUUCCUUUAUGAAAACCAUAUUUGUAGACAGACCUUGUAACGACAUGGAGGCCGAUACGGUUCAAUAGUCCUAUGGAGCUGAUGAUUAGCACUGUCUACAUCUAUAACCCUUGGAGAAAUUUUCUGAGGCAUGAUUUUCUGAAGUCCUGAGUCUGUGUUUCAAAGCACAAAUUUCUUAAGUUAAUUUUAUCAUAAUCCACAACAUGCAAUGAUGAUCCACACAAUACACAUUAAUGACAAGAAGAUUAUCAAGCAACAGAUUUUUCAAUAGAAUUUGAAAAUCAAACAUUACACACCUGAAACACAAGUAGGCACAGAUAGAAUUCCAGGUGAAUCUUGAAACACACUGUUCAAGAAACAGGCACAAAUUAAACAACCUACACAAAACAGCAGAACAAUACGCAUGGAAUCUUAUAAAAUAACAAUGUAGUAGAGUUUUCCUAACCAUGAAAUUGAGAGCUGAACCUCCUUCGGUAAUUUCACCGCAUUAGGACAAUCUGCUUUUGAUAAAGAGAGAAGAAACUCUCUCGAGUACGAAAUUUUCGAUCGCCUGAAAAUACCAAAUCAAAAGGUUCUUGAAUCACAAAUUCACAAUCACAUUGAAACAGAACAUCACAUGAAGCCAAAUUCAUCACAUUUGGCAACAGAGUGAAUCCUCACCAAGCUAAAGCCUCAACUCAUGUAAAAAUCAUCAAAAAUUCAAGUAUUCAACAGCGUUCAAACAAUUUUCAAAUCAUAAUUAGGGGGAAAACGUUACACGAUAGUGUAGUUGACUAAACAAAGAUUCACCGUAACAAGAAAUUACUACAGUGAAUCUUCACCAAGCUAAAGCCUCAAUUCCAAUAUUCUACUGCAUUCAAACGAUUUUCACAUCUAAUUGACUAGUUUCUCAGCCGCCAAACAGAAACAAAGAUUCACCGUAACAAGAAUCAAACAAUAAGAAACUACACUAGUUCAUGAAACCGCACUAGCCUAAAACAUGCAUUAACAGUAACAAUCAAACUCAAAAUUCAAUGAAUCAAAGCUUACUUGUUAGAAUCUUGAGACGGUGGAGCAAAGACAUUCGCGGUUCCAUUUUCCUGGCUCAUUUUCUCGAGAAAAUCCUCCGUCAAAUUUAGCGUUGACUACUCACAGUGUUUGAAUUUCUCCAAGAAACACCAGAACAGAACACAUGAACCGAACCUUACAACAAUGCUGCUAGAAGAAUCGAGAAGAAACUCGAAAACCUAGAAGAUCAAAUGCAAGAAAAUUACUCAGGAAACAGAGAGAAAUAGCAACGAAAAUAGCGACGAUGAGAAGAAGAAGUGAAGAACAGCACCUUGAGGGGUUCGAUACGGUGGCGGUGACGGUGGUGGAGUAGAGGUAAUAUCCAGAGGGAGAAACAUUUUCCGAGCGAGAAGUUUUCUCGGGAAACAGAGAGAAAAUGGGAGAGAAAAUGGAAAAGGCUUGCAGAGGAAGUUACAGAGAAAGUGAGAGACUGUGAGUGUUUCUAUUUGUAGAAUUUUGAUGGCAACGCGACGCAUUUAUUUACUCUCAGCUAGCAUAGCACACUGACACUAGUUGCUACAGGCUCACGUAUUUAGCAUGGCACAGAUUAAAAUAUUAAAUAUUUUUAUUUCUAUUUUUGUGUUUAGUUUGAUACUCUGAUUCAGCUUUUUAAUAAAGUGUGAUAUUCUCAUACCAUUGCCUAGUUAAACUAUUUUUGAAUAGUGUUGAUAUGGAUUUUUAGCUAUUUGUUUUUUUAGCCCUCUCAAAAUUUGUUUAUUUAAGUAAAGUACAUUUUAUGCUAAAAGACAUGUAAUGAUACCGAUUUAGAUUUGGUAAUAGUUUUUUGUGUUUCAUUUCAACAAGUUCAGCUACUUAAUGUAUGAUUUUGGAGGAAAAGUUUUGUUUACACUAAUGUGGAAAUAGAGGGGAGAGAAAGGAAAAAAGAGAGAAAUUUAUUCAUUUUUUGUUACGGGAAAUUGGGAGAGUAAAAGAGGGUAAGAAAAAACAGUGACUCUUUUUCAGUGGUCUGUCUAAUUUGAAGAUAAAGUCUAUAUUUUGUUUUUUUUUUUACGGUCAGAUAAAGUUAAUUUGAAGAUAAAGUGAGACCGUGUGUGAUUUUU
rnacentral:lncRNA from 1 species